rnacentral:lncRNA from 1 species
UCAGAUAACAACCUCAACCUCAACGGUUCAAUCCCUCCCUCUUUCUCCAACCUCAUACAUCUCACUUCCCUGGACCUUUCAGGUAACAAUCUCGGUUCAAUCCCUCCCUCUUUCUUUAACCUCACACAUCUCACUUCCCUGGAUCUCUCAUUUAACAACCUCAACGGUUCAAUCCCUCCCUCUUUCUCCAACCUCAUACAUCUCACUUCCCUGGACCUCUCAGGUAACCACCUCAACGGUUCAAUCCCUCCCUCUUUCUCCAACCUCAUACAUCUUACUUCCUUGGAUCUCUCAUAUAACAACCUCAACGGUUCAAUCCCAUCCUCACUCUUGACCCUUCCACGGCUAAACUUUCUGUAUCUAUACGAUAAUCAACUCAGUGGUCAAAUCCCAGAUGCGUUUCCUCAGUCAAACAGCUUUCACGAAUUGCAUUUGAGUGAUAACAAAAUAGAGGGUGAGCUGCCUUCAACACUUUCAAAUCUUCAACAUCUCAUUCACUUGGAUCUUUCAUAUAAUAAAUUGGAGGGCCCUCUGCCUAACAAUAUAACAGGGUUUUCAAACCUAACAUCGUUAUGGUUAAAUGGAAACUUACUGAAUGGGACAAUUCCUUCUUGGUGUUUAUCUUUGCCAUCUUUGAAGCAGUUAGAUCUAUCAGGAAACCAACUCUCUGGGCAUAUUAGUGCAAUCUCAUCAUAUUCCUUGGAGACAUUGUUUUUAUCCCACAACAAGUUACAAGGCAAUAUUCCAGAAUCAAUUUUUAGCCUUGUAAACCUUAUUUUCUUAGGUCUAUCAUCAAACAAUUUAAGUGGAUCUGUCAAAUUUCAUCGUUUCUCCAAGCUUCAAUAUUUGGAAGAACUUCACCUUUCAUGGAAUGAUCAGUUAUCACUAAAUUUCGAAUCCAAUGUCAAUUAUAAUUUCUCUAAUUUAAUGUUGUUGAACUUAUCUUCUAUGGUUUUAACUGAAUUUCCAAAAUUAUCGGGAAAAGUCCCAAUUUUAGAAUCACUCUAUUUGUCCAAUAACAAACUUAAAGGUAGAGUGCCACAUUGGUUGCAUGAAAUAUCGUUAUCUGAAUUGGACCUCUCUCAUAACCUAUUGACACAAUCAUUGCACCAAUUCUCGUGGAACCAACAACUCGGUUACCUUGAUCUUAGUUUUAACUCAAUCACUGGUGACUUCUCUUCCUCAAUUUGCAAUGCAAGUGCAAUUCAAAUUCUCAACUUGUCUCACAACAAGUUGACAGGAACCAUUCCACAAUGCCUUGCAAACUCAUUAUCCCUUCAAGUUUUGGAUCUACAACUGAACAAGCUUCAUGGCACUUUGCCAAGUAUCUUUUCAAAGGACUGUCGGCUCAGAACUCUGGAUCUCAAUGGCAACCAACUAUUAGAAGGUCUUUUGCCAGAAUCUUUGUCCAAUUGCAUUCAUCUGGAGGUUUUAGAUCUUGGAAACAAUCAAAUAAAGGAUGUGUUUCCCCAUUGGCUUCAAACUCUACCAGAAUUGAAAGUAUUGGUUUUGCGAGCCAACAAGUUGUACGGUCCCAUUGUCGGUUUAAAGAUCAAGCAUGGAUUCCCCCGUUUAGUCAUCUUUGAUGUCUCUUUCAACAACUUCAGCGGCCCAAUACCAAAAGCCUACAUACAAAAAUUUGAAGCGAUGAAGAACGUUGUUAUAGAUACCGAUCUGCAGUACAUGGAAAUUUCUAUUGGAGCUAAGAUGUACAGUGAUUCUGUGACUAUAACAACAAAAGCAAUUACUAUGACAAUGGACAAAAUUCCAAAAGGCUUUGUCAGCAUUGAUUUAUCAAAAAACGGAUUUGAAGGAGAGAUUCCAAAUGCCAUUGGAGAGCUUCAUGCCCUCAGAGGGCUCAACCUUUCCCAUAACAGAAUUAUUGGUCCUAUUCCCCAAUCCAUGGGAAAUUUGACAAACUUAGAAUCAUUGGAUCUCUCCUCAAAUAUGCUCACUGGUGGGAUACCUACGGAAUUAAGCAACUUGAACUUCCUUGAAGUCCUAAAUCUUUCCAAUAACCAUCUUGCUGGAGAAAUACCUCGAGGACAACAGUUCAGUACUUUUACCAAUGAUUCCUAUGAGGGAAACUCUGGGUUAUGUGGACUCCCACUGACAAUCAAAUGCAGCAAGGACCCUGAACAACAUUCUCCACCUUCAACUACCUUGAGGAGAGAAGGAGGAUUUGGAUUUGGUUGGAAACCAGUGGCUAUAGGAUAUGGAUGUGGAAUGGUCUUUGGAGUGGGAAUGGGAUGUUGUGUAUUGUUAAUAGGAAAGCCUCAAUGGCUUGUGAGAAUGGUCGGAGGUAAACCCAAUAAAAAGGUGAAAAGGAAGACAAGGAUGAGAUCUAAUGAAAAUGGUAGCAGAAUGAAUUAGUUGAUAUAUGGCAUGACUGGAGAAUGUCUUGUUACAUACCUGCCAUCUUUGAAAACAAAACUUAAGGGCAAGAACUUUAUCACACUGCAUUGCAUGGGAGAUCUGGUUCAAAGUUUUGCUGUAAUAUGAAUGUGUUAUACUCUUGCUUUUGUCGUAUAACUGUGGCAUUAAUUGGUUGUAUAAUAAUAGAUGUUGUAUAUUUUUAAAAAUGGUAUGUAUUGGCCAAUGCUAAAAUAUUUUGUAUCUUAAUUCAAGGAGCUGAAUUCACGGUUUUAGCUUCCAUUGUAGUCUAUUUAAUUAAUUUUCUAACUAUUUAACCACCGUGACAUGGCUUUAGAAGCUGAGGGGUCCAGGGACUUAACUAUAAGAGCACAAACAAUGCAUACUAAAAAGUUGCAUAUUUAUUUUUAUAGCCUAGGCCUCAUGGUCCGUAGGAUAUCACAUAUUUAUUUUUUAUUAAGUAAUUUUUCCCAAAUUAGAACAAUUGUCUGGUGAAAAUUUUCAAACUUUGAAAUAAAAGUUGCAGUACUAAAAUCAGUUAUAAUUAAACCUAAACUUUUUCUUUUUCAAUUACUAUUACGAUAAAUUGGUAGUGGUACGUGCUGUAAAUAUUACAUCUACUUAUAAUGUCAGCACCCAAAAAUUAUUUUUAUAAUGUAAAAUUUACAUUGUCAUUAAUUUGCUUUAUUAAUUUUUAUUAUAACUAUUUUAAAUUUAUAUUAUUAUCAUAAAAUCUGAAAAAUCGUAUCUAUAAUUUUUAAUUAAGCGUAAAAUUUUGUAACUUUUAUAAAUUUUAGUAAAUAUUAAAAAAAUAUAUAAUAUAAUGCUAGUAUUUUUCAAAAAAAUCAACAUUAUCAUUAAAUAAACCUGUGUGUUGUACAAUAAUUCCCUUUUAUCAUUCAAAAGAAAAAUUGAAACUGUUAUUCAAAAUAAAAUAACCAUUAGUGAAUUUUAUGAUAAUUACCUUAAUGAUUAAAUAUAUUUAGUUAAUUUUUUUUGCUCCCUAAUAAAUUUUUGUUUUGUUUUGAGUACUAUAUAAAACAAUAAUUUUAUUUUUGGUCCUAGAUAUUUUGUUGUAUAUAAUCCCUAAUAAGUUAGCAAAUUUUUGUUUACUUCCUUUUAAAUUAACAAAUUUUGUUUUAGUCCCAACUAAUAACAAAUGAAAAAAAUUAUCAAGAAAUAAACACACAAUUUGUGAAUCUAUCAGGGACUAAGAAAAGUAUCAAGAACCAAAAUAAAAUGAUUUUUUUAUUAGAAACUCAACGAAAAGUAAAAAUUUAUUAAAAAUUAAAUACAAAAAAUAAAUAUUUAUUAGGGAUUAAAAUUAUAAUUAAAACUUGUCUUAAAUAUUAAAUCUAUUAUAAUUAUUAAUUGGUUCACAACAUAUAAAUAUUUACACUUGUUAAAAUAUACUAUAAUUUCUCUUAAAUUAUUAGGUAAAAUUGGUAAGAGUGUGAGAAACUUAAUUAUUUAUCAAUACCAGCUAUGUGAAUGAACUAAUGUGGGUUUUUGAGCUAGAGACUCUUGGGAAAAAAAUAUUGUCUCAUAAUGAGAAGAAUACAUCAUAAAAAAAUAGAAAAUAUAAAAAUUUGUUUAAUAUGUUUCAACCCUCAUCCUUGCAUUGACAAUAUUAUACAUUUUAAGGAUAACAUAGAAAAAUUUACAAACAUUUUCUCCUUACGAUUUCCCCUCUGUUUGUUAGGGUAGUGACAGUUUCUUCGCACUAGAUGUGGUGAUUCUUCUCAUCUCAAAAAAUCUCUAUUUAUAAACCUAACAUUCUAAUAUUAACUGAAUUCAAAUCCUUAAUUUAUAAAUAAUAUAUUUAAUUCUAAAUGAUAUCCUAAAAAUAAGAUAAUAUCUUUUUUAAAAGCUAAACAAUAUCCUAUAGAUUUGUUAUUCAUUGAUUGAACCAUCAUUAAUUCCUACAUCCACAACUUUUAUAUAAGAUUUUAUGACAAGCAAGACAAACUUGCAAACCUUCCCUUGAUAUGACUCAUCUCUCUUAGGGUAUUGACCUAGGUUGAGUGAUUAUUCUUAUCUCAUAAAUCUUAUUUUAUAGACAUAACAUUCUAAUCUUAAAUGAGGAAACAAAUACCUAAUUUAUUAAUAAUAUAUUUAAUUUUAUCAACAUUCUAAAAAUAAGAUAAUAUCUUUUUUUAAGAAAAUAAAUAUCUUAUAGAUUUGAGAAUACAAAUAAGAUAUAUCUAACAAGAAGCAAAGUUGGACUUAUGUAGAUCAACCAACUAAUCCCUAUACCCACUCAUCACCUAAGCUCAGCCAAAACUCGCUUAGGCCUCAACCCUGCAUCGCUUAAGCUCUUAGCCAACACCACUUAAGCUACAUAAAAAAACAUGCUAAUUUUUGUGCCCAUUCUAGCUUAAGCGCUACCCAACACCAUUUAAGCUACUUCAAACUAAUUUACUCAAAUUAAAAAGAAUAAUGAUUCAACUAUUUAAUCACUACACAUUAAAUACCUAAUUUAUUUUCCGCACAUCACGCAACUGGUCCAUUUAUCUUUUUUAUUUAUUUCUUACAUGUAAUUUUCUUUUUAUUUUUUAAAAUCCAAAAUUUUCAUCUCUAUUUUAAAAUAAAGAUAUUUAAUCGAUUGUUUUUUACGAUCUAUAAUUUUAAUUUUCUAUUUUAAAAUAGAAAUAUUAGUCAUUUAUAUUUAUAAAAUAUGGAAUUUUAGUUAUCCCCAACUAAAAGCUUUGAUUGUUAAGAGCUUAAUCUUUAUUAUGAUAUAGAUUAACUAAAUUAUCUUGUGUCACAUUAUUAGAUUUGAAUCACAUCAAGUUAGCUUCUUACUAAUCAACGCUAAAUGAUUAUGUGGAUAUAAUCACAAAUGAUCAAAAUUAUAAAUUUUAUAACCUUAAGUAAUUAAUUGUUUUUAUUUUAAAAUAGAAGUAUUAAAAUUGUAAAAUAUAAAAAUUAAGACGGUCAAAUAUUUUUUAAAAUAUAGAAAUCAAAAUUAGAUAUUUUGAAAAUAGGAAAAAAUUACAUUUAAGUUUUUAUUUUUAUUUUUUACCGGAGGUCCAUAUGUCUAGUACUUAGAAAUCACGUCAUUAUAAAAAUGCGCCACUAGAGCAUAAUAUAAUAGCAUGAAGGACGUCAUUAUAAUUACAUUUAAGCCAUGAAGAACGUUGUUAUAUAUGCCAAUCCGCAAUACAUGGAAACUUCUGUUAUGGUUAGUGACACCAACAACACUGAUCAUGAAACCAACUACGCUGAUUCUGUGACUGUAACAAAAAAAAACAAUUACUAUGAAAAUGGACAAAAUUCGAAAUGACUUUGUAAGCAUUGCACAACAGAUUUGUAGGAGAGAUAUUCCAAAUGCCAUUGGAGAGCUUCACUCACUCAGAGGGCUAAACCUUUCCCAUAACAGAUUUAUUGGUCCUAUUCUACAAUCCAUUGGAAAUUUGACAAAGUUAGAAUCAUUGGAUCUCUCCUCAAAUAUGCUCACUGGCGGGAUACCUAGAGAAUUAAGCAAUUUGAACUUUCUUGAAGUCCAAAAUCUUUCCAAUAACCAUCUUGCAUUUGUGGGAGAAAUACCUCAAGGAAAACAGUUCAGUACUUUUUCCAAUGACUCCUAUGGUAGAAACUUGGGGUUGUGUGGACUCCCAUUGACAGCAGAAUGCAGCAAGGACCUUGAACAACAUUCUCCACCUUCACUAACCGUUGGGGGAGAACAGGGAGUUGGAUUUGGUUGGAAACCAGUGGCUAUGUGAUAUGGAUGCGGAAUGGUCUUUGGAGUGGGAAUGGGAUGUUGUGUAUUGUUAAUAGGAAAGCCUCAAUGGCUAGUGAGAAUGGUUGGAGGUCAACUCAAUAAAAAGGUGAAAUGGAAGACAAGGAUGAGAGCUAAUGAGAAUGGUAGCAGACUGAAUUAGUUGAUAUGUGGCAUGACUGUAGAAUGUCUUCUUGCACACCUUCCUGUUGAAAUUCAAUUCUGCCUUGUUGGAAAACAAAACUUAAGGGCAAGAACCUUAUCACACUGCAUUGCAUAUGCAUGCGAGAUCUGAUUCAAAGUUUAGUUGUAAUUGUAAUAUGGUGUUGUACUUUUUUUUCUUUGUGUUCAAUAAAUGAGUGUGAUAUACUUUUUUUUUUCUUCCAUUGCCCCAGAAACUCGGGUCUGAAUCAUCCAAAAGUUUGAUAAUUUUUCUGUUCAUUAAUACGCUUAGAUUGUUUUAUUUUUUUAAACUUUUUUAUAUUGGUGAAUAGUAUCAAGUUAAGUAGUGAAUAAUGUGUUGACAAUCAACAAUCAUUUCGCUAAUAUGCUGCAUAUUAGAAAAUUGUAGCAGUCAUUAAUACCAAUUUGCAUUAUGCACGCUAUUUUGAUCCCAUUGCUGUUGUGGAAGUAGUUUUGCUCCAGACAAGGAAUGGAAAUUGACCAGGAAUUUUGUUUUUUUGUGCCAUCGAUUGAGUUUGUAUAAGUGAAGAUAUGUUGAUCUUCUGACAACCUUUUUUUUUUCGAAAUUAUAAUAAUUACUAGUUCGCUAUCUAAAUUCAUGGGAAAUUGAAAAUUGAUUCCCACGAAACUGUAUUCUUCUUCUACAUUACACUUCUCAGGUGUUCAUAGAAGUCCUCUUCCUACUGGUAAGCCGUAUCAUAUUCACUCUCCCUUGCAUUCUGAUUUUUACUUAUAAAUAAGUUAAUGUCUAAGAGCAGGGUUGAAUGAGCGUAAAAAAAGAGAUAUUUUCUAUGAAGUUUUAAAACAAAUUUUACCGAAUUACAUUGUAAUUGAUCAAAUUCCAGAACCAGCCAUUUUGUAUUCUGUUCUGUUAGGCUCUAGCGUAGCUAACCCUAUACGAACUGGCUUAGCACACUUUACAUUAGUGGUUGGGUCUUGAACAUAUAUAGUUUCUUAUGCUUUAAAUUAAUAUUAAGCAUUGUGUUACUUCUAUGAUUGAGACAGCUAAUAGAGGAUGGGGUUGGAUUUUGGAAAUAAGGGGCUCAGAUACAAGUCUAGAUCCUCUUUAGUUUGUGAACUAAAAUUUUUGUUUUGGUUUUGCCUAUCUCUUAAUCUCUUAAGCUAUUAAAAUUAUUCUAGAAUCCACCUAAAGUUUUUUAUUCAAAAAUAAGUGUUGGAGUCUUAAGAUAAUGGUAUCAAGUUUAUUUAUGUAAUUUGUUUUUGGUGACCUAUUGCGGAAAAUCUUUUUAGUAUUUACUUUCUUGGAUUUUUCAAAAAAUUGAUAUUAGAGUCAAUCUUCGAUUUAGUGACCGGUUUAGACGAGGAAGAUGACGUUGAUGAAUUUAUGGAUAUAGAAUUUAUUGUAUCAAAAGUCUUUCUAUCAGCUGAAUUCAUGCAUAAAUGUCACGUAGCAAAGUUGUAGGUGUUACAAUAGUGCAAGCUACUAGAACAUGUUAUGACAAUGGCUAGACAAGCUAGAGACAAUAAAAAUUAAGUUUUAUGGGUCACCAUUAAAUAUUCUUAGAUUGAAAAUGACUUUCGGUCUUGACUUGAGAGCCUUUUUCUUAGUUUACACCUCGGCUGUGCCAUUAACAAUUGAUAAUGCUGUCUAGCAAGCUAUAUUGUGAAGAUAAAUACUUCUCUCCAUAUUUGUCCAUUUUACAUAUUUCCUGGUGUCAAAAUAUUAUUUUUAUUGUAUUUUUAUAUUUCCUGGUGUCAAGUAUCAAUGAUAAGUUUUACCAAAAAAUAAUAAUCAAUAACUAUAGUUAUGUAUAUAAGGAUAAUAAUUAUUUGACCUCUACAACAGGAUCCUAGUAUGAAGUAGUUCUGUAUGUAAAUCUUGCACAGACAAGCCAAAAUAAUAUAGCAUUGAUCAACCUGUUAAUUAGAAGAAUCAAGUUAAAAGCAGCUUGAAAAAGAGCAGGUAUAUGUAAAUAAUAGAAUACGGGGCCAUCUUGCAGUUGAGAGCGUCAUCUUUCUCCUCAUUUUGGAAUCACUCAAAUCCAAAUUUUGUAGAUUGAGAUAAUAUCAAAAUUUAAAACUUGUUCUAGGUCGUGUUUGGUGUGCAAAUUCUAUCUUAGAAGAUCCAAUUUGAACCAAGCACGUGGUUUCCCAUCACUUCUAUACUUGAAAAUAUAAAUAUGCUACAUUAAAGAGUUUUAUUCCAUUGAAUAUUCUUUCAGAAAAUGAUUUCGCAUUGGAUGUUCCUUCUUUCUAAAUGUGAUCUUUAAAACAAUGUAGAAUUUAUAAAAAAAAAUUGCGUGUAAUGUUCCUUCUUUAACAAAGGGGUCUUUGAACAAUUUUAAAUUUUAUAAACAUUUACUAAUUCUUUUUCUGUCGAUCACCAGAGGCUUAGUAUUAGAAUUUCAAAAUUUAGAUGUGAAAGGACGAAAACUGCAAUGUGAAAAGUGAAAGUUGUUACGUGGAAGUAUAUAUGGCAAAACGAAAAGAAAAAUUGGAAAGAACAAACUCCGUGUGAGCAUCACUAAUUAAAGUUAAAGUUGGACUAAAUUAAAAGAACCAAUAAAAACAAAAGUAAGAUCACUAAUUAAAGUUAAAGUUAGACUAAAAAAAAGAACCAAUACAAACAAAAGUAAGAGAAAUAAAAGGCAACAACUUACAGGUACCUCUCCAAAUACUUGCAAGCUUAAUAAAAUAAUUAAUGAAAAUCUAAUAAUAAAAAAUGGAGGAAAUAGCCAACAUACCUGCAAUAUAUUACCAUGCAUUGUUACAUCUCUACCACAAAACAUGAAUAUCUAAUCUUAUUGGAAACGAUAUUAAUGGAUGAAAUGAUAAACAUCUCUUUUUAAACCUUAUACAUCAUUCACAUAAUUAUUUCAUGUAUCUUGUUUAACAUUUUCUAAUUUUAAUUUAUAUUUUCUUCUUCGUAAAUAUAAAGAUAUGUACACCAAUUAACAAAGUUCAUGUUGUUUACAACUUCCUUUAAAAACAAUGUUGUUUACAACUUAUUUUCUACAUUAAUUAUUAUCUUAAUCUUUUUUUUUCAAACAAAACUCAUACUCAAUUUUUCAUAUAAAAAUUAGUUCUAACAUUUAAUUUUAUUCUCAAUGUUAAGCAACCACAUUAAUAACACUUUCAAAUCAUCCACCGUAUUCUAACAAUGUCCAACUCCUAAAUUGUGACAGAUAUAAGUUUUCUAACUUAUAAAUAUUUUAAUUACUAAAUUAAAUUUUUGACAAAUAUUAAUUUUAAAAAUAUGUUAAUUUUAUACAUAUGCUUUCAACGAAUAUUUUAGAAUUAUGUAUUUUUUAAUUUAAUAUAAUAUUUUUUUAAAUAUUUCUAACAUCUUGAAAUUAUAUCAUAUACAAUUAUUAAUUUACAAAUAACUUUAUAAAUGAUAUAAUUUUGACAAAUAAAUUUUUUAUGUAUAAUUUCAAAAAAUAUUUUAUAAUUUAAUUUUUUUAUAGUUUAAGGUAAUAUUUAUAUUUUAAAUAUUUUUUCUCCGAAUUAUAGUUUAAGGUAAUUUAUUUUUCAAGGGUUAAUAUUAUUGUUAGAGUCUGUUUAGCAAGCACUAUGAGUCUGUUUCACAAGUCACUCCAGUAGCUUAUAAUUUUGUUUGACUAGCAUAUAAGUUGAUUUUAUCAAAAUAAGUUUGGGUAUCAAAACAAACUUAAUUUAAUAACUUUUAGCUUAUUUUCAGACGCUAUUUCAACUAGUAUUUUAGCUUAUAAGUUAUUAAUUUAUUUUUAUAUUUAUAUUUUAUUAUUUUACUUUGAAUUAUUUUUUAUCCUUUUUUAAAUAAAACAAAUUUAUUUAAUUAAAAUAUAAUUUUUUAGAAAAAGAAGGACACAAGUCAUAAAAAAUAAAAAAAACUACAACACUCCAUUGUUUUCAAAAGUCAUAAAUCCAUAUACAUGAAGAGGGUUAAACAAAUUCAUCAAGUCUCUAUCAUUCUUUUAUAGUAUCAAACUAAAAUUAUUUUCCUAUUUUUAUAGGAUAAUAAAUUAUUACUAUAAAAAAGAUUAUAAAUUAUUAAAAAUAAAUUCAUAUAUAUAUAAUUAUAACCAAAUAACUAAAAUAGUUUUCUUAUUAACAAAUCUUAUGGGAAAAAAAUUAAUUCAAUGAGCUACCUCACAAGCUAGUUCUGUCUGGCACACCCUAGCUAUUUCUUCCUUUGAAAUAUUUUUUGUUUGAAUUGUUUAGAUUUAAAUAUAUUUUUAAUUCUUACUAAAAAAAUUUAAUUUUGUCUUUUGUCCCUGUUAAAUUAUUGUUAACUUUUUGGUCCUUAAUAAAAAAAUUUAUUUUAUUUUUUGACUUUGGAUUUAUUUAGAUAGGGCUUUAAAAAUGAAAUAAAAUUAUUUUCAAAGUUAUUUAAGAAAAAACAAAACAAAAAUAUUAUUACAAACCAAAAAGUUAAUGGAAAUUUAUCAGGAAUUAAAGAACAAAAUUUUAAGAUUUAUGAACAACCAAAAAUAUAUUUAAACAGUUUAUAAAACAAAGAGAACAUGAAAAAUCAAUCAUUAUGCUAUUCUCCUUGAACAAGAGUUAUAAUUUCCAUCUAGUACUUCUUUAUUUGUGGAUAUUGAAAUUAUUCGAUGUAACGCCUUUAAAAUAAAUUUCAGAGAGCAACUCAGCCCAUACACUAGAUUGUGUUCUACCUUGACAGUUGAAAAAAAUGCAUUAAAAAGAAGGAUUUGCCGUGAAGGUUCAAGACAAUACAUGCAUGUUUAAUUUUAAAUGAUGAUGAUAUAAACACUAUAAGGUUAUUUGUUAUUUAUUUGAUAAGUUAACUGACUGAAUAUUUAAUUCCACUCCACUACUUGCUAAAACUGACCACCCUCAUCCGAUUCACCGAAGGUUUACAAAAUUCGCUCCGUCAUGUUAUUCCAUUUCUAGUUGGUAUUUUAAAGGGAAAAAAAUGGUUAAAUAAAGAUAUGAAGCAGAAAAAUCAAAUAAAUCAUGUUUGCAGAAAAAUGAGUUCCAAGUCAUGCGUGAGGGAUGGGCUGUUGAAGUCUUGAAGCUUAAUUUAGCCACAAACUUUGCAUAGUGUUUUUAAUUUGGGUAUAAAUAUUAGUGUUUGGUUCCUCAGUAUUUCAUGUAUAUUUUCCCUUAUAGUAAACAGUUUUGAGUAGAAUAUGGAAUCAUGGAUGUGGUGUUUCCUUCUCUGUUCCCAUUUGCUCAUCCUUUAUUUUUCACCCUCUCAUUCCUUAUGCCACCCCCAUGACAACUCUGCCUUGCUCCACUUCAAAAACUCCUUCACUAUUUAUGAAGAUCCUUAUUAUUCUUAUUAUUGUGAUCAUGGUUAUUCAAAGACGACAACAUGGGAAAAUGGGAGAGAUUGUUGCUCUUGGGCUGGAGUCACCUGCCACCCCAUCUCAGGUCACGUCACUGAGCUCGACCUCAGCUGCAGUGGCCUUCACGGCAAUAUCCAUCCAAACAGUACGCUUUUCCAUCUUUCUCAUCUUCACUCACUCAACCUUGCUUUCAAUCAUUUGUAUACAUCUCAUUUGUCAUCUCUCUUUGGUGGGUUUGUGAGCCUCACACAUCUCAACUUGUCUCAUUCUGAAUUUGAAGGGGAUAUUCCUUCCCAAAUCUCUCACCUUUCCAAAUUAGUCUCACUUGAUCUCUCGUACAAUUUGUUAAAGUGAAAGGAAGACACUUGGAAGAGUUUGCUAAAAAAAUGCAACAGUUUUAAAGGUGCUUCUUUUGGAUUUUACAGAUAUGUCUUCCAUUUCAAUCAGGACACUCAAUAUGUCUUCUUCUUUGGUAACUCUUGGUCUUCUAGCAAAUGGGCUAAGCGGAAAGUUGACAGAUGGCAUUCUUUGUUUACCAAAUCUUCAGUACCUAUAUCUUUCAUUUAAUGAGGACCUUCAUGGUCAGCAGCUUCCAGAAAUGAGUUGCAGCACAACUUCUCUUGGUUUCUUAGAUCUUUCAGGUUGUGGUUUCCAAGGGUCAAUCCCUCCCUCUUUCUCUAACCUCACACAUCUUACUUCCCUGGAUCUCUCAGCUAACAACCUCAAUGGUUCAGUCCCAUCCUCACUCUUAACCCUUCCACGGCUAACCUUUCUGAAUCUAAACAAUAACCAACUCAGUGGUCAAAUCCCAAAUAUUUUUCCUAAGUCAAACAACUUUCACGAAUUGCAUUUGAGUUAUAACAACAUAGAGGGUGAGAUCCCAUCAACACUUUCAAAUCUUCAACAUCUCAUUAUCUUGGAUCUGUCACUUUGUGAUUUCCAAGGUUCAAUCCCUCCCUCUUUCUCUAACCUCAUACUUCUUACUUCCCUGGAUCUCUCAUAUAACCACCUCAACGGUUCAGUCCCAUCCUCGCUCUUAACCCUUCCACGGCUAACUUUUCUAAAUCUCAAUGCUAAUUGUCUCAGUGGUCAAAUCCCAAAUGUCUUUCUUCAGUCAAACAACAUUCACGAAUUGGAUUUGAGUAAUAACAAAAUAGAGGGUGAGCUGCCAUCAACACUUUCAAAUCUUCAACGUCUCAUUCUCUUGGAUCUUUCACAUAAUAAAUUUAUUGGUCAAAUCCCAGAUGUGUUUGUCGGGCUAACCAAAUUGAAUAGUCUCAAUCUUUCGGAUAACAAUUUAGGAGGCCCAAUCCCAUCUUCAUUAUUUGGCUUAACACAAUUUUCUUACUUGGAUUGUUCUAAUAAUAAAUUGGAGGGCCCCCUGCCGAACAAAAUAAGAGGGUUUUCAAAUCUAACAUCGUUAAGGUUAUAUGGCAACUUCCUGAAUGGAACAAUUCCUUCUUGGUGUUUAUCUUUGCCAUCUUUGGUGGAUUUAUAUCUAUCAGAAAACCAAUUCUCAGGGCAUAUUAGUGUAAUCUCAUCAUAUUCAUUGGUGAGAUUAUCUUUAUCCCACAACAAGUUACAAGGCAAUAUUCCAGAUACAAUUUUCAGCCUUGUAAACCUUACUGACUUAGAUCUAUCAUCAAACAAUUUAAGCGGAUCUGUCAACUUUCCACUUUUCUCAAAGCUUCAAAAUUUGGAAAGACUUAAUCUUUCACAUAAUAAUCAGUUAUCACUAAAUUUCAAAUCCAAUGUCAAUUAUAGUUUUUCCAGUUUAUGGAGUUUGGACUUAUCUUCUACGGGUUUAACUGAAUUUCCAAAAUUAUCAGGAAAAGUCCCAAUUUUGAAAUUACUCCAUUUGUCCAAUAAUACACUUAAAGGUAGAGUACCAAAUUGGUUGCACGACACGAACUCAUCGUUAUAUUUAUUGGACCUCUCUCAUAACCUAUUGACGCAAUCAUUGGACCAAUUCUCAUGGAACCAACACCUCGUUUACCUUGAUCUUAGUUUUAACUCAAUCACUGCUGGCUCUUCCUCAAUUUGCAAUGCAACUGCAAUUGAGGUUCUCAACUUAUCUCACAACAAGUUGACAGGAACCAUUCCACAAUGCCUUAUUAACUCAUCAACCCUGGAAGUUUUGGAUCUGCAACUGAACAAGCUUCAUGGCCCUUUGCCAAGUACCUUUGCAAAGAACUGUCAGCUCAGAACUCUAGAUCUCAAUGGCAACCAAUUAUUAGAAGGUUUUCUGCCAGAAUCUUUGUCCAAUUGCAUUAAUCUGGAGGUUUUAAAUCUUGGAAACAAUCAAAUAAAGGAUGUGUUUCCCCAUUGGCUUCAAACUCUACCAGAAUUGAAAGUAUUGGUUUUGAGAGCCAACAAGUUGUACGGUCCCAUUGAGGGUUCAAAGACCAAGCAUGGAUUCCCCAGUUUAGUUAUUUUUGAUGUCUCUUCCAACAACUUCAGCGGCUCAAUACCAAAUGCCUACAUAAAAAAAUUUGAAGCCAUGAAGAACGUUGUUCUAUAUCCCGAUUGGCAAUACAUGGAAAUUUCUAUUUCUUUUGCAGAAACCAACUACCAUGAUUCUGUGACUAUAACAACAAAAGCAAUUACUAUGACAAUGGACAGAAUUCGAAAUGACUUUGUAAGCAUUGAUUUAUCCAAAAACAGAUUUGAAGGAGGGAUUCCAAAUGCCAUUGGAGAGCUUCAUUCACUCAGAGGACUCAACCUUUCCCAUAACAGGCUUAUUGGUCCUAUUCCCCAGUCCAUGGGAAAUUUGAGAUACUUAGAAUCAUUGGAUCUCUCCUCAAAUAUGCUCAUUGGUGGGAUACCUACAGAAUUAAGCAAUUUGAACUUUCUUGAAGUCCUAAAUCUUUCCAAUAACCAUCUUGUGGGAGAAAUACCUCGAGGACAACAGUUCAAUACUUUUCCCAAUGAUUCCUACAAGGGAAACUCUGGGUUAUGUGGACUCCCACUGACAAUCAAAUGCAGCAAGGACCCUGAACAACAUUCUCCACCUUCAACUACCUUCAGGAGAGAACCAGGAUUUGGAUUUGGUUGGAAACCAGUGGCUAUAGGAUAUGGAUGUGGAGUGGUCUUUGGAGUGGGAAUGGGAUGUUGUGUAUUGUUAAUAGGAAAGCCUCAAUGGCUUGUGAGAAUGGUCGGAGGUAAACUCAAUAAAAAGGUGAAAAGGAAGACAAGGAUGAGAUCUAAUGAAAAUGGUAGCAGAAUGAAUUAGUUGAUAUAUGGCAUGACUGGAGAAUGUCUUGUUCCAUACCUGCCAUCUUUGAAAACAAAACUUAAGGGCAAGAACUUUAUCACACUGCAUUGCAUGGGAGAUCUGGUUCAAAGUUUUGCUGUAAUAUGAAUGUGUUAUACUUUUGCUUUUUGUGUUCUUUUUUUGUUUGUUAUGUGUAGAAGAGUGCAUGUACUUCAUUUGCCUUGAGCUUGCAGUUUUGAUUUAUUUAAUACGUAUAACUGUAGCAUUAAUUGGUUGUAUAAUAAUAGAUGUUGUAUAUUUUUAAAAAUGAUAUGUAUUGGCCAAUGCUAAAAUAUUUUGUAUCUUAACAGUAUGCAGUUGUCUCAUUUCAUUGAAGGAGCUCAAUUCACGGUUUUAGCUUGUAUUGUAGUCUAUUUACUUAAUUUGCUAAAUUAUCAAACUGUUAUUCAAAAUAAAAUAAGCAUUAGUGACUUUUAUAAUAAUUACCUUAAUGAUUAAAUAUAUUUUUAUUUUCAAUAAAUAGUUGAUUUUUUUGUUUAUUUCCCAAUAAAAAAAAUUAUUUUGAGUACCUUAUAAAAUAAUAAAUUUUUUUGUUUCCCAGAUAUUUUUUUUGUAAUCCCUAAUAAAUUAGCACAUUUUUGUUUACUCCCUCUUAAAUUAACGAAUUUUGUUUUAAUCCUGAUUAAUAAUAAAUAAAAAAAAUUAUUAAGAAAUAAAUAAAUACACAAUUUGUGAAUUUAUCAUGGACUAAGAAAAGUAUCAAGGAUCAAAAUAAAAUGAUUUUUUUAUUUGAAACUCAACGGAAAGUAAAAUUUUAUUAAAAAUUAAAUAUUUAUUAGUUAUUAAAAUUAUAGUUAAAACUUAUCUUAAAGAUUAAAUAUAUUAUAAUUUUUAUUUGGUUCACAACAUAUAAAUAUUUACCAUUGUUAAAAUAUACUAUAAUUUCUCUUAAAUUAUUUUAAUGAAAAUAAAUAGUAAAAUAGUAGGAACUUAAUCUAAGUUACGUUUAGUAAAUAUUGGGUAAAAUUGGUAAGAGUGUGAGAAACUUAAUUAUUUAUCACUACCAAAUAUGUGGAUCAACUAAUGUGGGUUGUUGAGCCAGAGACUCAUGAGAAAAAAUAUUGUCUCAUAGUGAGAAGAAUAAAUCAUAAAAAAUAGAAAAGAUAAUAAAUUUGUUCAAUAUGAUUUAGACCUUCAUCCUUGUAUUAACAAUCUGAUACAUUUUAAGGACAAUUUAGACAAACUUACAAACAUUCUCUUCUAACGAUUCCCCUAUCUUAGUUAGGGUAGUGAUAUUUUCUUCACACUAGAUGUGGUGAUUCUUUUUAUCUCAAAAAAUUUCUAUUUACAGAUCUAACUAAUCUUAAAUGAAUUCAAAUCCAUAAUUUACAAAUAAUAUAUUUAAUUCUAAAUGGUAUCCUAAAAAUAAGAUAAUAUGUUUUUAAAAAUCUAAACAAUAUCCUAUAAAUUUGAUAUUCAUUGAUUGGACCAUCAUUAAUUCCUACAUACCCAACCUCUAUAUAAGUUUUUAUGACAAGUUAGACAAACUUACAAAUAUUUCCUCUACAUGACUCAAUCUCUCUUAGGGUGUUGACCUAGGCUGAGUGAUUAUUCUCAUCUCAUAAAUCUUAUUUUAUAGACAUAACAUCCUAAUCUUAAAUAAGAAAACAAAUAUCUAAGGGUGUGUUAGGUUUGCAUUUUUAUUUUUUAUUUUCAUUUCCUGUUUUUAUUUUCUGAAAACUGUUUUCAUUUUUCAAAUAUUAGAAUUCUAAAAACAUGUUUGGUUUGAUUUUUUGUUUUAUGUUCUCAGGAAAUAAAAACACUGAAAAUUUAUGAUAUAUUAACUUCUUGUUUUUUUUUGUAUUUUUAGAUUUGCUUAAAAUUACAUUCUUUGCCAUUACGUUUUUAUUUUAUCCAAAAUAAGGGUCCUGUUUUAACUGAAAACGAGAUGUUAUUGUUUUCAUUUUCUGGUUGUUUCCUAUUUUCAUUUUCACUCAAAAUGUUUUUAAAAAUCGAAUCAAACACAUCUUCAUCAUUAUUUUCUGUUUUCAGUGAAAAUGAAAACAAAAAACAACCAAAUCAAACACCUCCUAAUUUAUUAAUAAUAUAUUUAAUUUUAACAACAUUCUAAAAAUAAGAUAAUAUUUUGGUUAAGAAAACAAUAUCUGACAAAUUUGAGAAUACAAAUUUAAAUUAUUUCCUAAUAAAGUCAUCGAUAUGUAGUUAAAUACUUAGAAAAAGAGUUUCAUCAUCCAUAAUAAUCAUAUUGACUCAAACAAGAUUAUCUUCAAUCAAAUAUACCUAUCUACGGAAGAAAGACCUAUGUAAGAUAAAUCUAACAUGAAGCCAAGUUGGACUUAUGUAGAUCAAUUAACCAACUAAUCCCUAUGCCCACUCAUCACCUAAGCUCAACCAAACUCGCUUAAGCCCCAACCCUGCAUCGCUUAAGCUCUUAGCCAACACCACUUAAGCUACAUCAAAAAACAUGUUAGUUUUUGUGCCCAUUCUAGCUUAAGCGCUACCCAACACCACUUAAGCUACUUCAAACUAAUUUACUCAAAUUAAAAAAAUAAUAAUGAUUCUACUAUUUAAUCACUACACAUUAAAUACCUAAUUUAUUAUCCGCUUAUCAAGCAACUGGUCCAUUUAUCUUUUUUAUUUGUUUAUUACAUGUAAUUUUUAUUUCUUUUAUUUUUUAAAAUCUAAAAUUUUGAUCUCUAUUUUAAAAUAAAGAUAUUUAGUCUAUUAUUUUUUACAAUCUAAAAUUUUAGUUUUCUAAUUUAAAAUAGAAAUAUUAGUCUUUUAUAUUUAUAAAAUAUGUAAUUUUAGUUAUCCCAACUAAAAGCAUUGUCUGCUAAGAGCUUAAUUUUAAUUAUGAUACAGAUUAAAUAAAUUAUCUUGUAUCACAUUAUUAAAUUUGAAUCACAUUAAGUUAGCUUCUUAUUAAUUAACGCUAAAUGAUUAUGUGGAUAUAGGCAUACGGAUGAUUAAAAUGAUGAAUUUUAUAAAAUUAAGUAAUUAUAUGUUUUUAUUUUAAAAUAGAAGUAUUACAAUUGUAAAAUAUAAAAAUUAAGAAGAUUAAAUAUUUUUUAAAAUAUAGAUAUUAAAAUUAAAUAUUUUGAAAAUAGGAAAAAAAAUAUAUUUAAGUUUUCUUUUACCGGAGGUCCAUAUGUCCAGUACUUAGAAAUCUCGUCAUGAUAAAAAUGCGUCACUAGAGCAUAAUAUAAUAGCAUGAAGAACGUCAUUAUAAUUACAUUUAAGCCAUGAAGAACGUUGUUAUAUAUGCCAAUCCGCAAUACAUGGAAACUUCUGUUAUUGUUAGUGACACCAACAACAUUGAUCAUGAAACCAACUACGCUGAUUCUGUGACUGUAACAACAAAAGCAAUUACUAUAUGAAAAUGGAUAAAAUUUGAGAUGACUUUGUAAGCAUUGAUUUAUCGCACAACAAAUUUGAAGGAGAGAUUCCAAAUGCCAUUGGAGAGCUUCAUUCACUCAGAGGGCUAAACCUUUCCCAUAGCAGGCUUAUUGGUCCUAUUCCCCCAUCCAUGUGAAAUUUGACAAAUUUAGAAUCAUUGGAUCUCUCCUCAAGUAUGCUCACUGGCGGGAUACCUAGAGAAUUAAGCAAUUUGGACUUUCUUGAAGUCCUAAAUCUUUCCAAUAACCAUCAUGUGGGAGAAAUACCUCAAGGAAAACAGUUCAGCAGUACUUUUUCCAAUGACUCCUAUGAUAGAAACUUGGGGUUAUGUGGACUCCCAUUGACAGCAGAAUGAAGCAAGGACCUUGAACAACAUUCUCCACCUUCACUAACCUUUGGGGGAGAACAGGGAUUUGGAUUUGGUAGAAAGCAGUGGCUAUAAUGCGGAAUGGUCUUUGGAAGGGGAAUGGGAUGUUGUGUAUUGUUAAUGGGAAAGCCUCAAUGGCUUGUGAGAAUGGUUGGAGGUCAACUCAAUAAAAAGGUGAAAUGGAAGACAAGGAUGAGAUCUAAUGAAAAUGGUAGCAGAACGAAUUAGUUGACAUGUGGCAUGACUGUAGAAUGUCUUCUUGCUCACCUUCCCGUUGAAAUUCAAUUCUGUCUUGUUGGAAAACAAAACUUAAGGGCAAGAACCUUAUCACACUGCAUUGCAUAUGCAUGGGACAUCUGAUUCAAAGUUUAGUUGUAAUUGUAAUAUGGUGUUGUACUUUUUUUUCUUUGUGUUCGAUAGAUGAGUGUGAUAUACUUUUUUUUUUACUUCCAUUGCCCCAGAAACUCGGGUCUGAAUCAUCCAUAAGUUUGAUAAUUUUUCUGUUCAUUAAUACGCUUAGAUUGUUUUAUUUUUUUUAACUUUUUUAUAUUGGUGAAUAGUAUCAAGUUAAGUAGUGAAUAAUGUGUUGACAAUCAACAAUCAUUUCACUAAUAUGCUGCAUAUUACAAAAUUGUAGCAGUCAUUAAUACCAAUUUGCAUUAUCGACGCUAUUUUGUUCCCAUUGCUGUUGUGGAAGUACUUUUGCUCCAGACAAGGAAUGGAAAUUGACCAGGAAUUUUGUUUUUUUGUGCCAUCGAUUGAGUUUGUAUAAGUGAAGAUAUGUUGAUCUUCUGACCACCUUUUUUUUCGAAAUUAUAAUAAUUACUAGUUCGCUAUCUAAAUUCAUGGGAAAUUGAAAAUUGAUUCCCACGAAACUGUAUUCUUGUUCUACAUUACACUUCUCAGGUGUUCUUAGAAGUCCUCUUCCUACUGGUAAGCCAUAUCAUAUUCACUCUCCCUUGAAUUCUGAUUUUUACUUAUAAAUAAGUUAAUGUCUAAGAGCAGGGUUGAAUGAGCGUAAAAAUUAGUUUGUAUGCUUUAAAUUAAUAUUAAGCAUUGUGUUACUUCUAUGAUUGAGACAGCUAAUAGAGGAUGGGGUUGGAUUUUUGAAAUAAGGGGCGCAGAUACAAGUCUAGAUCCUCUUUAGUUUGUGAACUAAAAUUUUUGUUUUGGUUUUGCCUAUCUCUUAAGCUAUUAAAAUUAUUCUAGAAUCCACCUAAAGUUUUUUAUUCAAAAAUAAGUGUUGGAGUCUUAAGAUAAUGAUAUCAUUAAGAUAAUGAUAUCAAGUUUAUUUAUGUAAUUUGUUUUUGGUGACUUAUUGCAGAAAAUCUUCUUGAUAUUUACUUUCUUGGAUUUUUCAAAAAAUUGAUAUUAGAGUCAAUCUUCGACAUAGUGACCGGUUUAGACAAGGAAGAUGACGUCGAUGAAUUUAUGGAUAUAAAGUUUAUUGUAUCAAAAGUCUUUCUGUCACCUGAAUUCAUGCAUAAAUGUCACGUAACAGAGUUGUAGGUGUUAUGUACAAUAAUGCAAGAUACUAAAACAUGUUAUGACAAUGGCUAGAAGAGCUAGAGACACUAAAAAUUAAGUUUCAUGAGUCACUAUUAAAUAUUCUUAGAUUGAAAAUGACUUUCGGUCUUGACUUGAGAGCCUUUUUCUUAGUUUACACCUGGCUGUGCCAUUAACAAUUGAUAAUGCUGUCUAGCAAGCUAUAUUGUGAAGAUAAAUACUUCUCUUCAUAUUUGUCCAUUUUACAUAUUUCCUGGUGUCAAAAUAUUAUUUUUAUUGUAUUUUUAUAUCCUUUAAAAUAAAUUUGCUUUUGGAGUUUUCUCUUGGACGAGAUACCAUUCAAAGAAUUUCACAUAAUGUAAAUGCACGGGGUUCUUUUUUAAUUUUGAUUUUGUGGCAUUUAUCUCUAUAUUUGGUUGAUAUAUUUGAAACUUGAUAGCGCGAUUAGCUGAUGUAUCAGUCAACGGACCCUAGUAUGGAAAAAGAAUACGGUGAAGACAGAAUUUUUCCACAAACUAAUGUAUCAGCGUGAGUUUCCUUUAAUUUUCUUUUGAUUUAAAUAUUUUUGUGGACGUGUUUUAAUUUUCAUUUUUUGAUGUGAUUGGCGAGCUUAAUUUUCUAACCCAUAUUUUAAGGGUUGGCAGACUUGGAAAUCAACGCUUGGAUUUAAUUGAACUGGCUGUUUAUACAUGUUUUGUUUUUAGAAUCAUAUCACAUAUAUGUAGUCUGUUGGUGAAAGUAUAUAGUGGCAGCUUAUGUUUUGGGCAGAAAUUGUUUCCUCAAACUUUCAUGUGAUAAGACAAAUUAACUUCUGAAUUUUCACAAUAAUAUUCUUCUAUGCUAUCAUAAGAAGAAGAAAAAACCACCAAUAACUUGUAGAUGCAUGUUCUCUUAAACAGGUGGUAUUCUUCUAGACCCAAAAAAAAAGGUGGUAUUCUCUGUGUUCAAUUAUAUCUUUUGGCUGGGAUCUUCCUUUUUCAUAUGUUGGGGUUUAAAAUAUUUAAUAGGGAUUAAUUAACAGGAACAUAUCCAGAAAAUAAUAACAAGCUUAAACAUACAAAAUUAUGUUAAUUAAUAAAUUUCAUCACUAUAUAUUUUAUAUAAAAAAAUUAAUUAACCUGUAUAUAUAAUUUUUUAAAGAAAAAUAUGAGAGGGAAACCAUUCUUGUUUCAUUUGAUACUGCCAUGUUAAUCAAUCAUGUCUAAUAAAUAUUUUCUCCGAUUUCUAUUAUAAAAAAAUUAUUUCAUAUUUAUUAAAAAAUUAAUUACUUUUAUUAAAUUGUAUUAAUAUUAAAAUAUUUUUUUUCUAAAUUAUUCUUCACUAAAAGUUGAUAUGAAGCAUAAAAAUAUCCAGCCUUAUAUAUAUUGUAGGCCAACACACAUUUCAUUUGCUUUUCUUUAUGAAAAAAGUUAAAUUAAUAGAGGAUGGGAUUGCAUUUUGGAAAUAAAGGGCUCACAUACAAGUACCUAGGUACAGUUUAGUUUGUGGCCUUAAACUCUGUUUUGGUUUUACCUUUCCUCUUGUGCUAUUAAAAUUCUUCUAGCAUCCGUUCACAAGUUUUUUAUUCAAAAGUAUUUGACGUACUGUUAGUUUAGUUGUUGAGAGUCUUUUUGUACUCCAGAAUUAACUAUGCCAUUGACAAUGGAUAAUUCUGUCAAGCAUGCUAUAUUGUUAAGAAAAAUACUUCUCUCCUAGUUUGUUCAAUUUUACAAAUAUACGUAUAUCAAAUUUUGAUGGUGGUCUCAUUUUUUUGCCUCUAUUCCUUAUCUGCUUCCCUCACUUGGAAAAGUAAAAUGGUAUCAACAUAUUUUUUUUAUUGUAUUUUUAUAUUCUUUUGAAAUAAAUUUACUUUAGAGGAGUGUUUGGACCAGAUACCAUACAAACCAAUUAAAAAAUUUAAAUGCACGGUGUCUUUUUUAAUUUUUAUUUUGUGGCAUUUUUCCUCUAUAUUUGAUUGGUAUUUUUGAAACAUGAUUGCGAUUAGCUGAUGUAUAAAGUCAACGAACCCUAGUGUGGAAAAAUAAUACGGUGAAGACAGUUUUUCAACAACUAAUUUUAUCAGCCAGAGUUUCCUUUAAUCUUCUUUUGAUGUGAUUAGAGUGUCUAAUUUUCUAACCCAUAUUUUAAAGGUUGGAAGACUCGGAAAACAACUGUUUGGUUCAACUAGGAUUGAUUAUAUAUAUAAAACUCUGUGAAUUGAAUAAUAGUUGGGGGCGGGACCUAGGAUUUAUCUAGACAUAGCUUUCCAACUCUUAACAGCUAAAACUUCUAGACACAACCCCAAUUAGAAGAUCAACAGUACAUACACCUCAACUCAUGAAAAAAACCUCUAUAUUCCAUAGAUAAACUUAAAUUUCUCAAUUUAGGAUAUCUACAGUCCUAUACAACUGAUCAAGCGUACUCUCUAUCAAUUAAUGGAAUGUUGAGUAAUUUGAUCAAAUGAAGUUUCCAAUACAGGGUACCUCUUGCCCUUCAGUUUAGAGGUCUAAGCCAAUCACUUUAGGUAGGAUUUAAUCAAACCAUGACUUAAUUCAAUUAUAUUUUAAUGGAUUAAUUUGGGUCAACGGACGUAAUAAUUUAAUUUUUUUUUCUUUUUUAAAACCUAAUAUUUUGUAGAAAUUAAAUUUUUUAUUAAAUAAAUUAAAUAUAAUUAUUUCUUAUUAUAUUUUAUUAAAAAGAAAUUUUUGUGAUGUGACCGCAUCUUACUCCGCUAACUCCUAUUUAUCCAAAGGAAUUGGGAAAUUAAGUGUAUCAUAUCACAAGCUCUUUUUAAGGUUUAGCUUUAUUGGAAGAUCUUAUAAAUAGGAGAAAAAGUAAACUAUGCUGGAAAAAAAUGUUAAGCAAUGAAGUAGACAUUAAAGAAAAACAAAAAGAAAUAUUGAAUAGAAUUGUAUUGUUUAUAAUUUUUUACGUUAUCUUACUGUUUCUACUUUCUGCAAUACUUUUAUUUUAAUUUUUUAUUUAAUGUCUAAGAGUACCCGUAGUUGACAAGACACUUCUUGUAAACAAGAAGUCAUAUAAUAGAUAACUAGAAUAAGUUGAAUUUGGAUAAUAAUUUGAGUAUUCUCUGUCAUUGUGAGAGUUGUUCUUCUUUAAUAACUUUGAUUUUAUUAACAUAUUGCGAUUAUGAUCAAAUUCUACUUGUUCACUUUGCAUGAAUUUAACAUGAUCCUAUAAAUCGAUUCGUAUUAUUGUUUAUCAGACAAUAUAAUUAAUUGUUAGUACAGUGACCUGUGAGCACAUCUAUUUGUAUACAUAUGGUAUAGAUAAACUAUUGGUUUUUUCAAUUUGAGAACAAAUCUCCUAAUAUAAUUUUUGUUCAUUUCUAAUAUUUUACAAAAAUAUUGAUGUAACCGUAUUGUCAUCUCUAUUUUAAAUUUGGCAAUAACACAUCAAACUAAAUUAAAUAAAAUCGAAUUUCAAAUUUGGGAAUAACACAUUAUCUAAUAAUGACCUCCAAAUCAAUUUCGAUGACAAUGGUGUAACAACCUUAAUUAAUAACUUCUUUGACAUAUCUGCGUUCCUUCUUUGCAUAAAUUAACUUCCAAGUCAAUGCAAAACGUUUUGCAUGGGGUAGAAAAUGGGAAACUUUUUGGGAUACAAAUACCAAUUAUAUAUGUAAGUUCUAAAAGAUAGAAACUAUAUAACUCUAUUACUAUAAUAAAGAUCCAUUCUUUUUUAAUUGACAAAUUAUUUAGUUUAUUAAUUUUAUUUAUUCAAAUUAAUUUAUUCAAUGCUAUUUAAUUUCAGUCAACAAAUUGCUAUUUAAUUUAUUCAUCAAUACUCACUCACUUGCUAAAACUUAUUAUCCGUCUUCACUGAAGUCUAAAGGUUUACAAAUUAGAAAAUGCAUUUUAAAGAGAAAAAUUAAAACGAUAAAAUAGAUAUAUGAAGUAGAAAAAUCAAAUAAAUCAUGUUUGCAAAGAGUUCCUAGAGAUAAUAUAAUGAAAGGGUUGAGAAAUGAAUGUUGAUUUGCAUGAGGGAUGGGUUGUUGUAGUGUAUACUCCUUGCGUGUUAACAAAAUUAAUUUUAAAUGUAAUUGAUUUUGUAAAAUUGAUUUUGAAGUAAUUAAUGUUUGUAUGUUUUAUUAUAAAAUUAAAUUAACAAUAAAAUUUGUUAUAAAAUUUUAGAUUCAAUACAGAAAUUGUUUAAAACAUAUAAAAAUAUAUUUAAAAUUAAUUAUAGAUUCAAAAUCAAUUUUUCAUCGUGAAUCAAACAAUAAAAAGUCUCAAAAUGGUUGAUGAAGGAUAAUUUUUUUAAAAAAUUUAUCAUUUGGAGAUAAAAUUUAAGUUGAUAUUCCAAAAGGAAUAAGUCUUAAUAAAUAAUGCAACUUCUAAAUUAAAAAUAGUGAAAUUUGUUAUAACUUUUUUUUAUUUUUUACAUUAAAGUCAUAAGAAAUUUUAUGGACUUCAUUUUUAUUUUUUAAAUACGUCUAAAAUUUAAUUCUCAUAGACAUUAAAGUCAUAAUUUUUUUUAUUGAAUUCGUAAAUUAUUUUAUGACUUUAAUUUAUUUUGCAUCUGAUAUAUUUUUUAAAAUUAUAAAUAAUUUUUAUUUUGGUUAUUUAAUAAAUUAAUGAUUUUAGUUUUAUUUAAUAUUUUGGUUAUUUUGCUAAAACCACCCUCAUCCGAUUCACCAAAGGUUUACAAAAUUCGCUCCGUCAUGUUGUUUCAUUGCUAGUUGGUAUUUUAAAGGGAAAACAUGGUUAAACAAAGAUAUGAAGUAGAAAAAUAAAAUAAAUCAUGUUUGCAGAAAAAAUGAGUUCCAAGUCAAGUCAAUUUAAAUAGCAAUUGCUGGGACAACUUUGAUAGCGUGUAAAAGGAUCAUAAGAUUUAUGGUCAAUUUGCGUGAGGUUUGGGCUGUUGAAGACUUGAAGCUUAAUUUAGCCACAAAUUUUGCAUAUCAUCUUUUAAAUUUGGCUAUAAAUAUUAAUGUUUGGUUGCUCAGUAUUAAUUUCAUGUAUAUUUGAGUAGAAAAUGGAAUCAUGGAUGUGGUGUUUCCUUCUCUGUUCCCAUUUGCUCAUCCUUUAUUUUUCACCCUCUCAUUCCUUAUGCCACCCCCAUGACACCUCUGCCUUGCUCCACUUCAAAAACUCCUUCACUAUUUAUGAAGAUCCUUAUUAUUCUUAUUAUUGUGAUCAUGGUUAUUCAAAGACGACAACAUGGGAAAAUGGGACAGAUUGUUGCUCUUGGGCUGGAGUCAGCUGCAACCCCAUCUCAGGUCACGUCACUGAGCUCGACCUCAGCUGCAGUCGCCUUUACGGCAAUAUCCAUCCAAACAGUACGCUUUUCCAUCUUUCUCAUCUUCACUCACUCAACCUUGCUUUCAAUGAUUUUAAUUAUUCUCAUUUGUCAUCUCUCUUUGGUGGGUUUGUGAGCCUCACUCAUCUCAACUUGUCUAAUUCUCACUUUGAAGGGGAUAUUCCUUCCCAAAUCUCUCACCUUUCCAAAUUAGUCUCACUUGAUCUCUCUGGUAAUAAUUUGUUAAAGUGGAAGGAAGACACUUGGAAGAGAUUGCUCCAAAAUGCAACAGUUUUAAGGGUGCUUGUUUUGGAUCAAACAGAUAUGUCUUCCAUUUCAAUCAGGACACUCAAUAUGUCUUCCUCUUUGGUUACUCUUAGUCUAGGACUGACUUGGCUAAGAGGAAACUUGACAGAUGGCAUUCUCUGUUUACCAAAUCUUCAGCACUUGGAUCUUUCACUUAAUCGGGCCCUUGAAGGUAAGCUUCCAGAAGUGAGUUGCAGAACAACUUCUCUUGAUUUCUUAGAUCUUUCACUUUGUGGUUUCCAAGGGUCAAUCCCUCCCUCUUUCUCCAACCUCAUACAUCUCACUUCCCUGGACCUCUCAGGUAACAACCUCAACGGUUCAAUCCCUCCCUCUUUCUCCAACCUCAUACAUCUUACUUCCUUGGAUCUCUCAUAUAACAACCUCAACGGUUCAAUCCCAUCCUCACUCUUAACCCUUCCAUGGCUAAACUUUCUGUAUCUAAACUAUAACCAACUCAGUGGUCAAAUCCCAGAUGCCUUUCCUCAGUCAAACAGCUUUCACGAAUUGCAUUUGAGUGAUAACAAAAUAGAGGGUGAGCUGCCUUCAACACUUUCAAAUCUUCAACAUCUCAUUCACUUGGAUCUUUCACAUAAUAAAUUGGAGGGCCCUCUGCCUAACAAUAUAACAGGGUUUUCAAACCUAACAUCGUUAUGGUUAUCUGGAAACUUACUGAAUGGGACAAUUCCUUCUUGGUGUUUAUCUUUGCCAUCUUUGGUGGAUUUAGAUCUAUCAGGCAACCAACUCUCUGGGCAUAUUAGUGCAAUCUCAUCAUAUUCCUUGGAGACAUUGUUUUUAUCCCACAACAAGUUACAAGGCAAUAUUCCAGAAUCAAUUUUUAGCCUUCUAAACCUUACUCACUUAGAUCUAUCAUCAAACAAUUUAAGUGGAUCUGUCAAAUUUCAUCGUUUCUCCAAGCUUCAAAAUUUGGAAAAACUUCACCUUUCAUGGAAUGAUCAGUUAUCACUAAAUUUCGAAUCCAAUGUCAAUUAUAGUUUCUCUAAUUUAAAGUUGUUGAACUUAUCUUCUAUGGUUUUAACUGAAUUUCCAAAAUUAUCGGGAAAAGUCCCAAUUUUAGAAUCACUCUAUUUGUCCAAUAACAAACUUAAAGGUAGAGUGCCACAUUGGUUGCAUGAAGUAUCGUUAUCUGAAUUGAACCUUUCUCAUAACCUAUUGACGCAAUCAUUGGACCAAUUCUCAUGGAACCAACAACUCGGUUACCUUGAUCUUAGUUUUAACUCAAUCACUGGUGACUUCUCUUCCUCAAUUUGCAAUGCAAGUGCAAUUGAGAUUCUCAACUUGUCUCACAACAAGUUGACAGGAACCAUUCCACAAUGCCUUGCAAACUCAUCAUCCCUUCUAGUUUUGGAUCUACAACUGAACAAGCUUCAUGGCACUUUGCCAAGUAUCUUUUCAAAGGACUGUCGGCUCAGAACUCUGGAUCUCAAUGGCAACCAACUAUUAGAAGGUCUUUUGCCAGAAUCUUUGUCCAAUUGCAUUGAUCUGGAGGUUUUAGAUCUUGGAAACAAUCAAAUAAAGGAUGUGUUUCCCCAUUGGCUUCAAACUCUACCAGAAUUGAAAGUAUUGGUUUUGCGAGCCAACAAGUUGUACGGUCCCAUUGUCGGUUUAAAGAUCAAGCAUGGAUUCCCCCGUUUAGUCAUCUUUGAUGUCUCUUUCAACAACUUCAGCGGCCCAAUACCAAAAGCCUACAUACAAAAAUUUGAAGCGAUGAAGAACGUUGUUAUAGAUACCGAUCUGCAGUACAUGGAAAUUUCUAUUGGAGCUAAAAAGAUGUACAGUGAUUCUGUGACUAUAACAACAAAAGCAAUUACUAUGACAAUGGACAAAAUUCCAAAAGGCUUUGUCAGCAUUGAUUUAUCAAAAAACGGAUUUGAAGGAGAGAUUCCAAAUGCCAUUGGAGAGCUUCAUGCCCUCAGAGGGCUCAACCUUUCCCAUAACAGAAUUAUUGGUCCUAUUCCCCAAUCCAUGGGAAAUUUGACAAACUUAGAAUCAUUGGAUCUCUCCUCAAAUAUGCUCACUGGUGGGAUACCUACGGAAUUAAGCAAUUUGAACUUCCUUGAAGUCCUAAAUCUUUCCAAUAACCAUCUUGCGGGAGAAAUACCUCGAGGACAACAGUUCAGUACUUUUACCAAUGAUUCCUAUGAGGGAAACUCAGGGUUAUGUGGACUCCCACUGACAAUCAAAUGCAGCAAGGACCCUGAACAACAUUCUCCAACUUCAACUACCUUGAGGAGAGAAGGAGGAUUUGGAUUUGGUUGGAAACCAGUGGCUAUAGGAUAUGGAUGUGGAAUGGUCUUUGGAGUGGGAAUGGGAUGUUGUGUAUUGUUAAUAGGAAAGCCUCAAUGGCUUGUGAGAAUGGUCGGAGGUAAACCCAAUAAAAAGGUGAAAAGGAAGACAAGGAUGAGAUCUAAUGAAAAUGGUAGCAGAAUGAAUUAGUUGAUAUAUGGCAUGACUGGAGAAUGUCUUGUUACAUACCUGCCAUCUUUGAAAACAAAACUUAAGGGCAAGAACUUUAUCACACUGCAUUGCAUGGGAGAUCUGGUUCAAAGUUUUGCUGUAAUAUGAAUGUGUUAUACUCUUGCUUUUGUCGUAUAACUGUGGCAUUAAUUGGUUGUAUAAUAAUAGAUGUUGUAUAUUUUUAAAAAUGGUAUGUAUUGGCCAAUGCUAAAAUAUUUUGUAUCUUAAUUCAAGGAGCUGAAUUCACGGUUUUAGCUUCCAUUGUAGUCUAUUUAAUUAAUUUUCUAAGUAUUUAACCACCGUGAAAUGGCUUUAGAAGCUGAGGUUGAGGUCCAGGUAUAAGAGCACAAACAAUGCAUACUAAAGGAUGGCUAUGGGUAUAGCCUAGGCCUUAUGGUCCGUAGGAUAUCACAUAUUUAUUUUUUAUUAAGUAAUUUUUCCCAAAUUAGAACAAUUGUCUGGUGAAAAUUUUCAAACUUUGAAAUAAAAGUUGCAGUACUAAAAUCAGUUAUAAUUAAACCUAAACUUUUUCUUUUUCAAUUACUAUUACGAUAAAUUGGUAGUGGUACGUGCUGUAAAUAUUACAUCUACUUAUAAUGUCAGCACCCAAAAAUUAUUUUUAUAAUGUAAAAUUUACAUUGUCAUUAAUUUGCUUUAUUAAUUUUUAUUAUAACUAUUUUAAAUUUAUAUUAUUAUCAUAAAAUCUGAAAAAUCGUAUCUAUAAUUUUUAAUUAAGCGUAAAAUUUUGUAACUUUUAUAAAUUUUAGUAAAUAUUAAAAAAAUAUAUAAUAUAAUGCUAGUAUUUUUCAAAAAAAUCAACAUUAUCAUUAAAUAAACCUGUGUGUUGUACAAUAAUUCCCUUUUAUCAUUCAAAAGAAAAAUUGAAACUGUUAUUCAAAAUAAAAUAACCAUUAGUGAAUUUUAUGAUAAUUACCUUAAUGAUUAAAUAUAUUUAGUUAAUUUUUUUUGCUCCCUAAUAAAUUUUUGUUUUGUUUUGAGUAUUAUAUAAAACAAUAAUUUUAUUUUUGGUCCUAGAUAUUUUGUUGUAUAUAAUCCCUAAUAAGUUAGCAAAUUUUUGUUUACUUCCUUUUAAAUUAACAAAUUUUGUUUUAGUCCCAACUAAUAACAAAUGAAAAAAAUUAUCAAGAAAUAAACACACAAUUUGUGAAUCUAUCAGGGACUAAGAAAAGUAUCAAGAACCAAAAUAAAAUGAUUUUUUUAUUAGAAACUCAACGAAAAGUAAAAAUUUAUUAAAAAUUAAAUACAAAAAAUAAAUAUUUAUUAGGGAUUAAAAUUAUAAUUAAAACUUGUCUUAAAUAUUAAAUCUAUUAUAAUUAUUAAUUGGUUCACAACAUAUAAAUAUUUACACUUGUUAAAAUAUACUAUAAUUUCUCUUAAAUUAUUAGGUAAAAUUGGUAAGAGUGUGAGAAACUUAAUUAUUUAUCAAUACCAGCUAUGUGAAUGAACUAAUGUGAGUUUUUGAGCUAGAGACUCUUGGGAAAAAAAUAUUGUCUCAUAAUGAGAAGAAUACAUCAUAAAAAAAUAGAAAAUAUAAAAAUUUGUUUAAUAUGUUUCAACCCUCAUCCUUGCAUUGACAAUAUUAUACAUUUUAAGGAUAACAUAGAAAAAUUUACAAACAUUUUCUCCUUACGAUUUCCCCUCUGUUUGUUAGGGUAGUGACAGUUUCUUCGCACUAGAUGUGGUGAUUCUUCUCAUCUCAAAAAAUCUCUAUUUAUAAACCUAACAUUCUAAUAUUAACUGAAUUCAAAUCCUUAAUUUAUAAAUAAUAUAUUUAAUUCUAAAUGAUAUCCUAAAAAUAAGAUAAUAUCUUUUUUAAAAGCUAAACAAUAUCCUAUAGAUUUGUUAUUCAUUGAUUGAACCAUCAUUAAUUCCUACAUCCACAACUUUUAUAUAAGAUUUUAUGACAAGCAAGACAAACUUGCAAACCUUCCCUUGAUAUGACUCAUCUCUCUUAGGGUAUUGACCUAGGUUGAGUGAUUAUUCUUAUCUCAUAAAUCUUAUUUUAUAGACAUAACAUUCUAAUCUUAAAUGAGGAAACAAAUACCUAAUUUAUUAAUAAUAUAUUUAAUUUUAUCAACAUUCUAAAAAUAAGAUAAUAUCUUUUUUUAAGAAAAUAAAUAUCUUAUAGAUUUGAGAAUACAAAUAAGAUAUAUCUAACAAGAAGCAAAGUUGGACUUAUGUAGAUCAACCAACUAAUCCCUAUACCCACUCAUCACCUAAGCUCAGCCAAAACUCGCUUAGGCCUCAACCCUGCAUCGCUUAAGCUCUUAGCCAACACCACUUAAGCUACAUAAAAAAACAUGCUAAUUUUUGUGCCCAUUCUAGCUUAAGCGCUACCCAACACCAUUUAAGCUACUUCAAACUAAUUUACUCAAAUUAAAAAGAAUAAUGAUUCAACUAUUUAAUCACUACACAUUAAAUACCUAAUUUAUUUUCCGCACAUCACGCAACUGGUCCAUUUAUCUUUUUUAUUUAUUUCUUACAUGUAAUUUUCUUUUUAUUUUUUAAAAUCCAAAAUUUUCAUCUCUAUUUUAAAAUAAAGAUAUUUAAUCGAUUGUUUUUUACGAUCUAUAAUUUUAAUUUUCUAUUUUAAAAUAGAAAUAUUAGUCAUUUAUAUUUAUAAAAUAUGGAAUUUUAGUUAUCCCCAACUAAAAGCUUUGAUUGUUAAGAGCUUAAUCUUUAUUAUGAUAUAGAUUAACUAAAUUAUCUUGUGUCACAUUAUUAGAUUUGAAUCACAUCAAGUUAGCUUCUUACUAAUCAACGCUAAAUGAUUAUGUGGAUAUAAUCACAAAUGAUCAAAAUUAUAAAUUUUAUAACCUUAAGUAAUUAAUUGUUUUUAUUUUAAAAUAGAAGUAUUAAAAUUGUAAAAUAUAAAAAUUAAGACGGUCAAAUAUUUUUUAAAAUAUAGAAAUCAAAAUUAGAUAUUUUGAAAAUAGGAAAAAAUUACAUUUAAGUUUUUAUUUUUAUUUUUUACCGGAGGUCCAUAUGUCUAGUACUUAGAAAUCACGUCAUUAUAAAAAUGCGCCACUAGAGCAUAAUAUAAUAGCAUGAAGGACGUCAUUAUAAUUACAUUUAAGCCAUGAAGAACGUUGUUAUAUAUGCCAAUCCGCAAUACAUGGAAACUUCUGUUAUGGUUAGUGACACCAACAACACUGAUCAUGAAACCAACUACGCUGAUUCUGUGACUGUAACAAAAAAAAACAAUUACUAUGAAAAUGGACAAAAUUCGAAAUGACUUUGUAAGCAUUGCACAACAGAUUUGUAGGAGAGAUAUUCCAAAUGCCAUUGGAGAGCUUCACUCACUCAGAGGGCUAAACCUUUCCCAUAACAGAUUUAUUGGUCCUAUUCUACAAUCCAUUGGAAAUUUGACAAAGUUAGAAUCAUUGGAUCUCUCCUCAAAUAUGCUCACUGGCGGGAUACCUAGAGAAUUAAGCAAUUUGAACUUUCUUGAAGUCCAAAAUCUUUCCAAUAACCAUCUUGCAUUUGUGGGAGAAAUACCUCAAGGAAAACAGUUCAGUACUUUUUCCAAUGACUCCUAUGGUAGAAACUUGGGGUUGUGUGGACUCCCAUUGACAGCAGAAUGCAGCAAGGACCUUGAACAACAUUCUCCACCUUCACUAACCGUUGGGGGAGAACAGGGAGUUGGAUUUGGUUGGAAACCAGUGGCUAUGUGAUAUGGAUGCGGAAUGGUCUUUGGAGUGGGAAUGGGAUGUUGUGUAUUGUUAAUAGGAAAGCCUCAAUGGCUUGUGAGAAUGGUUGGAGGUCAACUCAAUAAAAAGGUGAAAAGGAAGACAAGGAUGAGAUCUAAUGAAAAUGGUAGCAGAAUGAAUUAGUUGAUAUGUGGCAUGACUGUAGAAUGUUUUCUUGCUCACCUUCCUGUUGAAAUUCAAUUCUGCCUUGUUGGAAAACAAAACUUAAGGGCAAGAACUUUAUCACACUGCAUUGCAUAUGCAUGGGAGAUCUGAUUCAAAGUUUAGUUGUAAUUGUAAUAUGGUGUUGUACUUUUUUUUCUUUGUGUUCAAUAAAUGAGUGUGAUAUACUUUUUUUUUUCUUCCAUUGCCCCAGAAACUCGGGUCUGAAUCAUCCAAAAGUUUGAUAAUUUUUCUGUUCAUUAAUACGCUUAGAUUGUUUUAUUUUUUUUAACAUUUUUAUAUCGGUGAAUUGUAUCAAGUUAAGUAGUGAAUAAUGUGUUGACAAUCAACAAUCAUUUCGUUAAUAUGCUGCAGAUUACAAAAUUGUAGCAGUCAUUAAUAGGCAAAUAUUGACCUGGGGGGAUUUCUUUUAGAAACUAAUUUCCAACCAUUUUGAAACAUCUACAGUUUUUUUAUUAUAAAAUAAGUGUUGGAUUCUUAAAAUAUGAUGUCAAGUUUCCUUAUAUAAUUUAUUUGGUGACCUAUUGCGGAUAAUCUCCCUGGCAUUUACUACUCUCUUGGAUUUUUCAAAAAAUUGAUAUUAGAACCAAUGGUUCGAUUUGAUGACUAGCUUAGACAAGUAAGAUGACAUCGAUGAAUUCAUGGAUAUAGAGUCCUUUGUAUCAAAAGUCUUUUUGACAGGUGAAUUCAUGCAUGAAUGUCAGGUAGCAGAGUUGCAUGUGUUGCAAUAGUGCAAGAUACUAGAACAUGUUAUGACAAUGGCUAGACAAGCUAGGGUAAUAAAGAUUAAGUUUUAAGAGUCACCAUUGAAUAUUCCUGAAUUGAAAAUGAUUUCCAUCCAAUGGAAAGGUUAACAUGUGGAAGAGACACAAACUUGAGAAAAAGAUUGUUAAAAUAUAAGUGUGAGAAAAAAUCUCAUAUUAGAUCGAAAUGACAGUUGAGUAUCAUAUAACAAGUGAGAAGAAAAUCAUAAACAUGAGUGAUAUGAUUUUAAUUUAAAAUAUGAUGUAAAAAUCACUUACAUAAUUACUCGGGAUAAAAUAUUUGAAGGAAAAAGAAUUGACUUGAGAGCCUUUUUCUUAGUUUACAUCUCGUUGUGCCAUUAACAAUUGAUAAUUCUGUCGAGCAUGCUAUAUUGUAAAGAAAAAUACUUCUCUCUUUAUUUGUUCAUUUUACAUAUUUCCUGGUGUCAAAAAAUUCUUUUUAUUGUAUUUUUAUAUCCUUUAAAAUAAAUUUGCUUUUGAAGUUUUCUCUUGGACCAGAUACCAUACAAAGAAUUUCACAUAAUGUAAAUGCACGGGGUUCUUUUUUAAUUUUGAUUUUGUGGCAUUUAUCUCUAUAUUUGGUUGAUAUAUUUGAAACUUGAUAGCGAUUAGCUGAUGUAUCAGUCAACGGACCCUAGUAUGGAAAAAGAAUAUGGUGAAGACAGAAUUUUUCCACAAACUAAUGUAUCAGCGUGAGUUUCCUUUAAUUUUCUUUUGAUUUAAACAUUUUUGUGGACGUAUUUUAAUUUUCCUUUUUGAUGUGAUUGGCGAGCUUAAUUUUCUAACCCAUAUUUUAAGGGUUGGCAGACUUGGAAAACAAUUGCUUGGAUUUAACUGAAGUGGCUGUUUAUACAUGUUUUCUUUUUAGAAUCAUAUCACAUAUAUGUAGUCGAUCUGUUGGUGAGGUAGACAGUGGGAGCUUAUGUUUUGUGCAGAGAUUGUGUCCUCAAACUUUCAUGUGAUAAGACAAAUUAACUUCUGAAUUUUCACAAUAAUACAGUUCUAUUCUAUCAUAAGAAAAAAAAAAAUACCACCAAUAACUUGUAGAUGCAUUUUCUCUUAAACAGGUGGUAUUCUAUCUCUGUGUUCAAUUAUAUCUUUUGGCUGGAAUCUUCCGUGUUCAUAUGUUGGGGAUUAAAAUAUUUAAUAGGGAUUAAUUAACAGGAAUAUAUCCAGAAAACAAGUAGUGUUCAAUUUUCCUUUUUGAUGUGAUUAGAGUGUCUAAUUUUCUAACCCAUAUUUUUAAGGUUGUAAGACUCGGAAAACAAUUGUUUGGUUUAACUAAAUUGGUUUAUACAUGUUUUGUUUUCUGAAUGAUAUGUAGCAUGCUUUCUGCGGUAGAAAACUAAGUCAGUCGAUCACAUGAGACAAAAAUUAAAUAUUUUCAUCGUCACCGUUGUAAUAGCUUGCUACAUUAAACAUAAUUAGUAAUAUAUUUUUUUUAAUUAUUAUCAAAACAAGGAUAAAAUUUUCAUGAUUAAACAAAAUAUCUAUUAAACUUAUUUAAAAAUGAUGGAUUAGUAAAAGCGAUGUAAAGGCAUAAAUUAUUAUAUGAAGAAUUAUCUUCCAAAAAUAAAAUCAACUCAUGAUACAAAAAUAAACAGAGUUUGAAGUAUAUAUAUAUAUAUAUAUAUAUAUAUAUAUAACUCUGUCAAUUGAAUAAUAGUUGGGGGGCGGGACCUAGGAUUUAUCUAGACAUAGCUUUCUAACUCUUAACAACUAAAAUUUCUAGACACAAGCCCGAUUAGAAGAUCAACAGUACAUACACCUCAACUCAUGACAAAAACCUUUAUAUUCCAUAGAUAAACUUAAAUUUCUCAAUUUAGGAGUACGAUUUGUCAAAUCUUAGACUUAAUCUAAUUAUAUUUGAACGGGUUAAUUUGAGUUGAUUUUCUAAAAAAUAUAUGAAAUUUAACCAAAACCAACUUAUUUAUAAAUUGUUUGAGUUUGAUUGGAUCAACCAAGGUAACAAUUUAAUAAUAUUUACAACAAUUUAAUAACACUUAAAACUCAUCCACCAUGUCUUAACAAUGUCCAACUCCUAAAUUGUGACAAAUAUAAGUUUUCUAACUUAUAAAUAAUUUAAUAUAUAAAUUUAAAUUUUCACAAAUAUUAAUUUUAAAAGAAUUUGUUUAAAUGAUAUAAUUUUGAAAAGUAUGUUAAUUUUAUACAUAUUCUUUCAACAAAUAUUUUAGAAUUAUGUAUUCUUUUUAAUUAAAUGUAAUAUUUAUUUUUAAAUAUUUCUAACAUCUUGAAAUUAUAUCAUAUACAAUUAUCCAUUUACAAAUAAUUUUAUAAAUGAUAUACUUUUGACAAAUUUAUUUUUUAUGUAUAAUUUCAAAAAAUAUUUUAUAAUUUAAAUUUUUAUAGUUUAAGGUAAUAUUUAUAUUUUAGAUGUUUUUCUCCGAAUUAUAUAUAUCAUAAACAAUUAUUUCUAGCGUUAUUUCAAAAUAAAUUUUGGGGAGCAAUUGCAUAAAUUAGUAAGGCAAAGGUUUUAGCUUGACAAUUGAAAAAAAAAUGCAUAAAAAAGGAUAUCCAUUAUUGAAAUAAAAUAAAUUUCUUUAAUUAAAUUAUAAUAUAUUUUAUUUUGGAAAGUGAAGGAAACACGUCAUAAAAAAACAAAAAAAAAAAAACUAAAAAGCUCCAUUGUUUUUAAAACUCAUAAAUCCAUAUACCUGAAUAGGGUUAAAAAAAUUCUUCAAAAUCUCUAUCACUCUUUUAUAGUAUCAAAUUUAAAUUAUUUUCCUAUUUUUAAGAUGACAAAUUGUUUCUGUAAAAAGACAAUAAAUUAUUAAAAAUAAAUUCAAAUAUAUAUAUAAUUAUAAACAAAACUAAAAAUAUUUUUUAUAAACAAAUCAUAUGAAAAAAAAUUCAAUUCAAUGAGCUAGUUCACAAGCUAGUUCUGUCAAGCACACCCUAUCUCUUCCUUAAAACAUUUUUUUGUUUAAAUCGUUUAGAUUUAAAUAGGUAAAUUUUUUAUUUUUUGGUUUUUUCCCUUUUAAAUUAUUGUUAAAUUUUUGCUCCCAAAAAAAUAAUUUUUGUAUUUUAUUUUUUGACUUUGGAUUUAUUUAGAUAGGGCUUUAGAAAAUGGAAUAAAAUUAUUUUGAUAGUUAUUUAGCAAAAAAACAAAAGAAAAAAUUAUUACAAACCAAAAAGUUAACAAAAAUUUAUUAGGAAUAAAAAAAAUUAAUGAUUUAUCAAGAACUAAAAAUAUAUUUAAAUUGUUUAUAACAUAAAAGAACAUGAAAAAUCAACCAUUAUGCAAUUCUCUUUGAACAAAAUUGUAAGAUGUAACAUUUUUAAAAUAAAUUUCAGAGAGCAACUCAGUCCAUACACUAAGAUAGUGUUUUACCUUGACAGUUGAAAAAAUGCAUUAAAAAGAAGGAUUUGCCGUGAAGGUUUCAAGAAAAUACAUGCAUGUGUAAUGUUAUUUCAUUUCUAGUUGGUAUUUUAAAGGGAAAACAUGGUUAAACAAAGAUAUGAAGUAGAAAAAUAAAAUAAAUCAUGUUUACAGAAAAAAUGAGUUCCAAGUCAAGUCAAUUUAAAUUGCAAUUGCUGGGACAACUUUGAUAGCGUGUAAAAGGAUCAUAAAAUUUAUGUGUCAAUUUGCGUGAGGUUUGGGCUGUUGAAGUCUUGAAGCUUAAUUUAGCCACAAAUUUUGCAUAUCAUCUUUUUAAUUUGACUAUAAAUAUUAAUGUUUGGUUGCUCAGUAUUAAUUUCAUGUAUAUUUUCCAUCCCUUAUAGUAAAGAGUAUUUGAGUAGAAAAUGGAAUCAUGGAUGUGGUGUUUCCUUCUCUGUUCCCAUUUGCUCAUCCUUUAUUUUUCACCCUCUCAUUCCUUAUGCCACCCCCAUGACACCUCUGCCUUGCUCCACUUCAAAAACUCCUUCACUAUUAAUACUAGUUAUGGCCAUAAUGAAUAUCCUUAUUAUUAUCAUAAAUGUGAUACUGGUUAUUCAAAGACGAGAACAUGGGAAAAUGGGACAGAUUGUUGCUCUUGGGCUGGAGUCACCUGCCACCCCAUCUCAGGUCAUGUCACUGACCUCGACCUCAGCUGCAGUGGCCUUCACGGCAAUAUCCAUCCAAACAGUACGCUUUUCCAUCUUUCUCAUCUUCACUCACUCAACCUUGCUUUCAAUCAUUUGUAUCAAUCUCAUUGGUCAUCUCUCUUUGGUGGGUUUGUGAGCCUCACUCAUCUCAACUUGUCUUAUUCUGAAUUUGAAGGGGAUAUUCAUUCCCAAAUCUCUCACCUUUCCAAAUUAGUCUCGCUUGAUCUCUCAGGUAAUGAUUUGUUAGAGUGGAAGGAAGACACUUGGAAGAGAUUGCUCCAAAAUGCAACAGUUUUAAGGGUGCUUGUUUUGGAUGGAGCAGAUAUGUCUUCCAUUUCAAUCAGGACACUCAAUAUGUCUUCCUCUUUGGUUACUCUUAGUCUUCGAUACAGUGGGCUAAGAGGAAACUUGACAGAUGGCAUUCUCUGUUUACCAAAUCUUCAGCACUUGGAUCUUUCAGGAAACUGGGUCCGUGGAGGCCAGCUUGCAGAAGUGAGUUGCAGCACAACUUCUCUUGAUUUCUUAGCUCUUUCAGAUUGUGUUUUCCAAGGGUCAAUCCCUCCCUUCUUCUCUAACCUCACACAUCUUACUUCCCUGGAUCUCUCAUAUAACAACCUCAACGGUCCAAUCCCUCCCUCUUUCUUCAACCUCACACAUCUCACUUCCCUAGACCUCUCAGGUAUCAACCUCAACGGUUCAAUCCCAUCCUCACUCUUAACCCUUCCACGGCUAAACUUUCUGAAACUACAGAAUAACCAACUCAGUGGUCAAAUCCCAGAUGUCUUUCCUCAGUCAAACAGCUUUCACGAAUUGGAUUUGAGUGAUAACAAAAUAGAGGGUGAGCUGCCAUCAACACUUUCAAAUCUUCAACAUCUCAUUUUCUUGGAUCUUUCAUAUAAUAAAUUGGAUUUGAGUGGUAACAAAAUAGAGGGUGAGCUGCCAUCAACACUUUCAAAUCUUCAACAUCUCCUUCACUUGGAUCUUUCAUAUAAUAAAUUGGAGGGCCCUCUGCCUAACAAUAUAACAGGGUUUUCAAACCUAACAUCGUUAAGGUUAAAUGGAAACUUACUGAAUGGGACAAUUCCUUCUUGGUGUUUAUCUUUGCCAUCUUUGAAGCAGUUAGAUCUAUCAGGAAACCAACUCUCUGGGCAUAUUAGUGCAAUCUCAUCAUAUUCCUUGGAGACAUUGUCUUUAUCCCACAACAAGUUACAAGGCAAUAUUCCAGAAUCAAUUUUUAGCCUUCUAAACCUUACACUCUUAGAUCUAUCAUCAAACAAUUUAAGUGGAUCUGUCAAAUUUCAUCAUUUCUCCAAGCUUCAAAAUUUGAAAGAACUUCAACUUUCACGGAAUGAUCAGUUAUCACUAAAUUUCAAAUCCAAUGUCAAGUAUAAUUUCUCCCGUUUAUGGAGAUUGGACUUAUCUUCUAUGGAUUUAACUGAAUUUCCAAAAUUAUCGGGAAAAGUCCCAUUUUUGGAAUCACUCCAUUUGUCCAAUAACAAACUUAAAGGUAGAGUGCCAAAUUGGUUGCAUGAAACGAACUCAUUGUUAUUGGAAUUGGACCUCUCUCAUAACCUAUUGACGCAAUCAUUGGACCAAUUCUCGUGGAAGAAACCACUCGCUUACCUUGAUCUUAGUUUUAACUCAAUCACUGGUGGCUUCUCUUCCUCAAUUUGCAAUGCAAGUGCAAUUGAGAUUCUCAACUUAUCUCACAACAUGUUGACAGGAACCAUUCCACAAUGCCUUGUUAACUCAUCAACCCUUGAAGUUUUGGAUCUGCAACUGAACAAGCUUCAUGGCCCUUUGCCAAGUACCUUUGCACAGGACUGUUGGCUCAGAACUCUGGAUCUCAAUGGCAACCAAUUAUUAGAAGGCUUUUUGCCAGAAUCUUUGUCCAAUUGCAUUUAUCUGGAGGUUUUAAAUCUUGGAAACAAUCAAAUAAAGGAUGUGUUUCCCCAUUGGCUUCAAACUCUACCAGAAUUGAAAGUAUUGGUUUUGAGAGCCAACAAGUUGUACGGUCCCAUUGAGGGUUCAAAGACCAAGCAUGGAUUCCCCAGUUUAGUCAUUUUUGAUGUCUCUUCCAACAACUUCAGCGGCCCAAUUCCAAAAGCCUACAUUAAAAAAUUUGAAGCCAUGAAGAACGUUGUUCUAGAUGCCUAUAGCCAAUACAUAGAAGUUCCUUUUAAUUUAUUUUAUGGACCCAACGACAGACCCAACGACAGACCCAACUACGCUGAUUCUGUGACUAUAACAACAAAAGCAAUUACUAUGACAAUGGUCAGAAUUCGAAAUGACUUUGUAAGCAUUGAUUUAUCGCAAAACAGAUUUGAAGGAGAGAUUCCAGGUGUCAUUGGGGAGCUUCAUUCACUCAGAGGACUCAACCUUUCCCAUAACAGACUUAUUGGUCCUAUUCCCCAAUCCAUGGGAAAUUUGAGAAACUUAGAAUCAUUGGAUCUCUCCUCAAAUAUGCUCACUGGUCGGAUACCUACAGAAUUAAGCAAUUUGAACUUUCUUGAAGUCCUAAAUCUUUCCAAUAACCAUCUUGUGGGAGAAAUACCUCAAGGAAAACAGUUCGGUACUUUUUCCAAUGAUUCCUAUGAGGGAAACUCUGGGUUAUGUGGACUCCCACUGACAAUCAAAUGCAGCAAGGACCCUGAACAACAUUCUCCACCUUCAACUACCUUCAGGAAAGAAGGAGGAUUUGGAUUUGGUUGGAAAGCAGUGGCUAUAGGAUAUGGAUGUGGAAUGGUCUUUGGAGUGGGAAUGGGAUGUUGUGUAUUGUUAAUAGGAAAGCCUCAAUGGCUUGUGAGAAUGGUUGGAGGUAAACUCAAUAAAAAGGUGAAAAGGAAGACAAGAAUGAGAUCUAAUGAAAAUGGUAGCAGAAUGAAUUAGUUGAUAUAUGGCAUGACUGGAGAAUGUCUUGUUACAUACCUGCCACCUUUGAAAACAAAACUUAAGGGCAAGAACUUGAUCACACUGCAUUGCAUGGGAGAUCUGGUUCAAAGUUUUGCUGUAAUAUGAAUGUGUUGUACUUUUGCUUUUUUGUGUGUUCUUUUUCGUUUGUUGUGUAGAAGAGUGCGAUGUAUUGAGUUGCAGUUUUCAUUUAUUUAAUACGUAUAACUGUGGCAUUAAUUGGUUGUAUAAUAAUAGAUGUUGUAUAUUUUUAAAAAUGCUAUGUAUUGGCCAAUGCUAAAAUAUUUUGUAUCUGAAUUCACGGUUUUAGCUUCUAUUGUAGUCUAUUUAAUUAAUUUUCUAACUAUUUAACCAGCGUGACAUGGCUUUAGAAGCUGAGGUCCAAGGGGCGUAAGUAUAAGAGCACAAACAAUGCAUACUAAAGGAAGGCUAUGGGUAUAGCCUAGGCCUCAUGGUCCGUAGGAUAUCACAGAUUCAUUUUUUAUUAAGUAAUUUUUCCCAAAUUAGAAUAAUUUGAAAUAAAAGUAGCAUUACUAAAAUCAGUUAUAAUUAAAUCUAAACUUUUUCUUUUUCAAUUACUAUUACGAUAAAUUGGCAGUGGUACGUGCUGUAAAUAUUACAUCUACUUAUAAUGUCAGCACCCAAAAAUUAUUUUUAUAAUGUAAAAUUUACAUUGUCAUUAAUUUGCUUUAUUAAUUUUUAUUAUAACUAUUUAAAAUUUAUAUUAUUAUCAUAAAAUCCGUAUCGAUAAUUUUUAAUUAAGCACAAAUUUUUUUAAUUUUAGUAAAUAUUAAAAAAUAUAUAAUAUAAUGUUAGUUUUUUUCAAAAAAAAAAACAACAUUAUCAUUAAAUAAAUCAGUGUGCGCGCUGUACAAUAAUUCACUUUUAUCAUUGAAAAUAAAAAUAAAAACUGUUAUUCAAAAUAAAAUAUGCAUUAGUGACUAUUAUAAUAAUUAUCUUAAUGAUUAAAUAUAUUUUUAUCUUUAAUAAAUAAUUUUUUUUCUCCCUAAUAAAUAUUUGUUUUUUUACUAUCUUAUUAAAUAAUAAUUUUGUUUUUUGUCCUAGAUAUUUUGUUGUAAUCCCUAAUGAAUUAACAAAUUUUUGUUUACUUCCUUUUAAAUUAACGAAUUUUUCUUUGUCCGACUAAUAAUAAAUAAAAAAUUAUCAAAAAAUAAGCACACAAUUUAUGCCAUGAAAUAAUUAUAUCAUGCAUGAAAUAAUUAUUAAUCAUGCAUGAAAUAUUAUCAAAUAAUAAAUUAUAUCAUGCAUGAAAUAAUUAUUAAUCUAUAUCAUUUGGGUGAAAAAUUUCCCAAGUAGUCCAAUACAAAUAAUAAAUAAACUAAACCAACACUUUCCUAAAUUGAAAUAAGAUCAAUAUCCAAUCCAAACAAUAAUCAAACUAAAGUACCUAUUUCUGACGUAGAAAAGGAGAUUUCAAAUAAUUAUAAAAUCCUAAAUUUGGCAAUAAAAAUUAAACUAAAAUAAAAUAAAAUUUCAAAUUUGGCAAUAACACAUUAUCUAAUAAUGACCUCCAAACUAUUAACUCAAUCACCGGUGGCUUCUCUUCCUCAAUUUGCAAUGCAAGUGCAAUUUCUGGGCCACACCAGCUUGCUGCAAACUACUUGGGAGGCACACAAAAGGCUAAGAAUGCUGUUUUCUGAACCUUUAUCAAUUGAUGGUCUGAACAAAUAUUUUCCAUUUCAUAAAUACUCGGGCAAUGGAUACAGUAGAUCAAUGGCUAGGAAGGAAAGUCCUGGUUCUUGAAGAGGCUUCUAAUUUGAGUUCCAAUAAGUUUUCAGACAAUAAAAUUUUCCAUAUUUAGUUAUGCAUCUUAUUUGAUAAUAAUCAGUAUUUGAAAUAUUAAAUAUAACAGUUUACUCUAAAAGUGAUUGAACACAUGAUCAUGAGUUUAGAGCCUUCUUUGGAAGAACAAGAAAAGUUUGGUCAAAGUUUAAGAUUAUUUCUUCCACAUUUGCUUCAUUGCCUUUUAAACUUUCAGAGACAUAAUUUUCAUCGCAGUAUCAAGGUAACAAAGCAAUACACGACUAACCACACAUGACACACCACUAAACAGGCUGGGUUCACUGAUUUAAUUAUGAGGAUCACUGAAUUCUCCUUUCCUCGGAUACAUAUGUUAUGCAUGUAUGCAUGCUCCGGGAUAUUAUGCACUACACGUUGGAUUCUAUAAUGUUUUAAAGAGAAAACUGCCAAGACAUUAAACAAGAUUUCUUAGAACCCUUAGAAUUAGAUAUGAAAAAUAGAAGAGAAGACGGAGAAGAAGAUACAUAAUUGAAGGACAAUAUAUUAACUCUGCUGGUUGCAGGCCAUGAUACCACAAUUAUUCUCAUACAUAGCUCAUCAAAUUUCUUGAUGAAAAUCCAACUGUUCUGGAACAAUUGAGAGUAAAUAUUAAGAACCUAUAAUGUUUAUCCUUUACAUGGUUGAAGAUUGUAAAAACAAGCUUCAUGAAUGCUGAUGUUUUUGUAGGAGGUGCACAAACAAAUUGUUGCAAACAGAAGGAGUCGAAAAAUAUUACAGUGUUUGAAGUUAAUAGCAUUUCCCUUUAUCUGCGGCGACGCUUGUUCCUAACUGAAUAUUUGGGUGCUUUGGUUUGUCUCUGAAACGAGCUCUAUGUUUGUUUCUGAGCAACGGCUUUCCUUUGUCUCUGAGCUUUUAGGUUCGAAGCAUAUUUCACUUUCAGCCUUACCCUCGAGGCGUAUUUUUGCAGCGUAGUUGAGGUCACGAGUGCAUUCGAAUUUUAAGAAUAGGGUUCAUGACUUCAUGUAUGUGCACUGGACCAUCCUGUACACUAGGGAUUGCUAGUGGGAAAUGUAUUAGCAUGGAUAUUCUUUUACUUGUUUUGGAACUGAUAUAACAGGCUUUGGUUCUUGAACGUGUAAUGUUCAUAAACAUCUUAAGUUAAGGUCUGAUUUGAGCAUUUGAGGUUGUAACAUGUAUGCUUUAAUGGAACAAGAUGUAAAAAAGUCGAAUUGAACCUUGGUGGUAAAAUCAAAAUCACACCUCCUCCACCUAGAGGUACAUCACUUAGCAAUACAACACUUAGCGUGCUAGCACUUCAUGUCUAGCAAGAGGAGUGAUAGCUUUGUAACUAAUAACAUUUUUUAGUUAAUUACUAGAUAUAUUCCUGACAAUAUUAAUGGCAUCAACGUCCAAUGAUGGACUAUUGUUGAACAAUGGGUUUUCUCCCGCAAGGCUGCAACUUAUAAUUAAAUACUCAUUUUAAACUAUUUUUCUGAGAAUUUUAAGAUUGUUACGAGCUUGUCUGAGUUUAGGGAUCAAUGGCUGUUAUGGAGUUCAAUAAUUUUAGGGCUCAUCAACCUCAUCUUACUUGAAAAUAAAUUACGUAAUUAAACGAGCCACCCUAAGAAUUUAAAUUAUCUGGAGGGCUAAAAUAAGGAACAUUGUCAAUACUGGGUGAAGAUAAUACACCCAUUCUGAUCGACUCUUCUCAUCAACCCAACGGAGACUGAGUUUGCAGUCAGUGUCAAGAAAACCUCAUUGCUGAUUUGCAGUAUUUUAUAAUAAAUCACAAUUAGAGUAUCACAGUUGUAGACUUGCAGUCAACAUUAAAAACAAAUAUAUAAAGGUUGUCUAUCUUAACAUUAACAUAUCUUCUUAAUUAUGUUUGCGUUUGCUUACUUUUUGUUUUGGUUUUUAAUUUCAACUUGGUUUUCUCGUUUAAGGUGUUCUAAUUUGCAUACUUAGUUAAGAAAAGGCGAUGUAAUUGAAGGAGUAUAGUAAUUUUCUAUUUUUUUCCGUAGGAUAUCGCAUUUGUUUUUUUCAAAGUUCGAGUAAUUCAACUAUAUAAAAUAUUUUUAUAACACAUCAUGAACAUCUAAUCUUAUUGGAAACGAUAUUAAUGAAUGAAAAGAUAAACAUUUAUUUUAAACCUUAUACAUCAUUCAAAUAAUUAUUUCAUGUAUCAUGUUUAAAAGUUCCUAAUUUUUAAUUAUAGUCUCUUCUUCUAAAAUAUAAAGACAUGUACACCAAUUAACAAAGUUUAUGUUGUUUACAUCUUUCUUUUAAAAAAAUGUUGUUUACGACUUAUUUUUCACGUUAAUUAUUAUCAUACUCUCUUUUUUCGAAACAAAAUUGAUAAUCAUAUUUUCUUAUAAAAUUUAAUUAUAACAUUUAAUUUUAUUCUCGUGUUCAACAACCACGUUAGUUACACUUACAACUCAUCCACAAUAUCCUAACAAUGUCCAACUCCUAAAUUGUGACAAAUAUAAGAUUUCUAAUUUAUAAAUAUUUUAAUUUGUAAAUUAAAAUUUUGACAAAUUUUAAUUUAAAAAUAUUUUUUAAAACAAUAUAAUUUUGAAAAAAUAUGUUAAUUAAUUUUAUGGAUGAAAAAAAGAGGAUAUCCCGUGAAGUUGAAGACAAUACAAUUGAAAUGGCAAUACUGAAUAGUGAGCACAAUCUGGGUAGCGUUAUGAUAGGGUUAGAAAUGAAAUGAAAUGACAGCACUGAGGAUGACCUAGCUGUAGCGUUAUGAAAGGGUUUAGAAAAUGGAUGUUUGCGUGAAGCAUGGAAGGAAGCACAUCAUAAAAAUCAAAAUAAAAUAAAACUGCAACACUCCAUUGUUUUCAAAAGUCAUAUUUCAUUUACAUGAGAGUUAAAGAAAUUCAUCAAAUCUCUACCAUUCUUUUAUUAUAUAAAAUUUAAAUUAUUGUCAUAUUUUUACUUAAUAUUUAAUUCCAUCCACUCCACUACUUGCUAAAACUGACCAUAUCCUCAUCCGAUUCACUCAAGGUUUACAAAAUUGGCUCCAUCAUGUUAUUUCAUUUCUAGUUGGUAUUUUAAAGGGGAAAAAUGUUAAAUAAAGAUAUGAACUACAAAAAUCAAAUAAAUCAUGUUUUCCUGAAAAGAGACUUCCAGGUCAAUUAACAAAAUGGCGUGAUGAGAGGAUUGGAAAAUAAAUCAUAUCUAAUUGGAAACGAUAUUAAUGGAUCAAAAGAUAAACAUUUCUUUUUAAACUUUAUACAUCAUUCACAUACUUAUUUCAUCUAUCAUGUCUACCAUUUUCUAAUUUUAAUUUAUAUUUCCUUCUUCGUAAAUAUAAAGACAUGUACACCAAUUAACAAACUUCAAAUUGUUUACAACUUCCUUUAAAAAAAUGUUGAUUACAACUUAUUUUCCACAUUAAUCAAUUAUUGCCUUAAUCUUUUUUUUCAAACAUAACUUAUAAUCAAUUUUUCAUAUAAAAAUUAAUUCUAACAUUUAAUUUUAUUCUGAAGGUUAAUUAAACAACCACAUUAAAAACACUUACAACUCAUGCGCCAUAUCGUAACAAUGUCCAACUCCUAAAUUGUGACAAAUAUAAGUUUUCUAACUUAUAAAUAUUUUAAUAUGUAAAUUAAAAUUUUGAUAAAUAUUAAUUUAAAAAUAAUUUGUUUAAAUAAUAUAAUUUUGAAAAGGAUGUUAAUUUUAUACAUAUGCUUUCAACAAAUAUUUUAUAAUUACGUAUUCUUUUUAAUUUAAUAUAAUAUUUAUUUUUAAAUAUUUCUAACAUCUUGAAAUUAUAUCAUAUAGAAUUAUUAAUUUACAAAUAAUUCUAUAAAUGAUAUAAUUUUGACAAAUGCAUUUUUUUAUGUAUAAUUUCAAAAAAUAUUUUAUAAUUUAAAUUUUUAUAGUUUAAGGUAAUAUUUAUAUUUUAAAUAUUUUUCUCCGAAUUAUAUCUAUCAUAAACAAUUAUUUCUAGCGUUAUUUCAAAAUAAAUUUUGGGGAGCAAUUGCAUAAAGUAAGGCAAAUGUUUUAGCUUGACAAUUGAAAAAAAAUGCAUAAAAAAAGGAUAUCCAUUUUUGAAAUAAAAUAAAUUUAUUUAAUUAAAUUAUAAUAUAUUUUAUUUUUGAAAGUGAAGGAAACACGUCAUAAAAAACAAAACAAAAUAAAGCUACAAACCUCCAUUGUUUUUAAAACUCAUAAAUCCAUAUACCUGAAUAGGGUUAAACAAAUUCUUCAAAAUCUCUAUCAUUCUUUUAUAGUAUCAAAUUUAAAUUAUUUUCCUAUUUUUAAGAUGACAAAUUGUUUCUGUAAAAAAGUUAAUAAAUUAUUAAGAAUAAAUUCAAAUAUAUAUAUAUAUAUAUAUAUAUAAUUAUAACCAAAAACUUAAAAUAUUUGUUAUUAACAAAUCAUAUGAAAGAAAAUUAAUUCAAUGAGCUAGUUCACACGCUAGUUCUGACAAGCACACCCUAUCUCUUCCUUAAAAAAAAAUUUUGUUUAAAUCGUUUAGAUUUAAAUAGGUACGUUUUUUAAUUUUGGUUUUUGCCCCUUUUAAAUUAUUGUUAACUUUUUGCUCCCAAAUAAAUAAAUUUUGUAUUUUAUUUUUUGACUUUGGAUUUAUUUAGAUAGGGCUUUAGAAAAUGGAAUAAAAUUAUUUUGAUAGUUAUUUAGGAAAAGAACAAAAGAAAAAUUUAUUACAAACCAAAAAGUUAACAAAAAUUUAUUAGGAAUAAAAAAAAAACAAAAUUUGAUGAUUUAUCAACAACUAAAUACAUAUUUAAAUAGUUUAUAACACAAAAGAACAUGAAAAAUCAACCAUUAUGCAAUUCUCUUUGAAUAAGAGUUAUAAUUUCCAUCUAGUACUUCUUUACUUGUGAAUAUUAAAAUUAUUAGAUGUAACAUUUUUAAAUUAAAUUUCAGAGAACAACUCAGUCCAUACACUAAGAUAUAUAGUGUUUUACCUUAACAGUUGAAAAAAUUCAUUAAGAAUUAACUAAGGAUUUGCCGUGAAGGUUUCAAUACAAUACAUGCAUGUGUAAUGUUAUUUCAUUUCUAGUUGGUAUUUUAAAGGGAAAACAUGGUUAAACAAAGAUAUGAAGUAGAAAAAUAAAAUAAAUCAUGUUUGCAGAAAAAAUGAGUUCCAAGUCAAGUCAAUUUAAAUUGCAAUUGCUGGGACAACUUUGAUAGCGUGUAAAAAGAUCAUAAGAUUUAUGGUCAAUUUGCGUGAGGUUUGGGCUGUUGAAGUCUUGAAGCUUAAUUUAGCCACAAAUUUUGCAUAUCAUCUUUUUAAUUUGACUAUAAAUAUUAAUGUUUGGUUGCUCAGUAUUAAUUUCAUGUAUAUUUUCCUUCCCUUAUAGUAAAGAGUAUUUGAGUAGAAAAUGGAAUCAUGGAUGUGGUGUUUCCUUCUCUGUUCCCAUUUGCUCAUCCUUUAUUUUUCACCCUCUCAUUCCUUAUGCCACCCCAUGACACCUCUGCCUUGCUCCACUUCAAAAACUCCUUCACUAUUUAUGAAGAUCCUUAUUAUUCUUAUUUUUGUGAUCAUGGUUAUUCAAAGACGACAACAUGGGAAAAUGGGAGAGAUUGUUGCUCUUGGGCUGGAGUCACCUGCCACCCCAUCUCAGGUCACGUCACUCAGCUCGACCUCAGCUGCAAUGGCCUUUACGGCAAUAUCCAUCCAAACAGUACGCUUUUCCAUCUUUCUCAUCUUCACUCACUCAACCUUGCUUUCAAUGAUUUUGAUGAAUCUAAUUUGUCAUCUCUCUUUGGUGGGUUUGAGAGCCUCACGCAUCUCAACUUGUCUUCUUCUGACUUUGAAGGGGAUAUUCCUUCCCAAAUCUCUCACCUUUCCAAAUUAGUCUCGCUUGAUCUCUCAUAUAAUAUAUUAAAGUGGAAGGAAGACACUUGGAAGAGAUUGCUCCAAAAUGCAACAGUUUUAAGGGUGAUUGUUUUGGAUGGAAAUGAUAUGUCUUCCAUUUCAAUCAGGACACUCGAUAUGUCUUCCUCUUUGGUUACUCUUAGUCUAAGACAGACUGGGCUAAGAGGAAACUUGACAGAUGGCAUUCUCUGUUUACCAAAUCUUCAACACUUGGAUCUUUCACUUAAUUGGGACCUUAAAGGUCAGCUUCCAGAAGUGAGUUGUAGAACAACUUCUCUUGAUUUCUUACAUCUUUCAUGUUGUGAUUUCCAAGGGUCAAUCCCUCCUUCUUUCUCCAACCUCAUACAUCUCACUUCCCUAUAUCUCUCACUUAACAACCUCAACGGUUCAAUCCCUCCCUUUUUCUCUAACUUUACACAUCUUACUUCCUUAGAUCUCUCAGAAAACAACCUCAACGGUUCAAUCCCUCCCUCUUUCUCCAACCUCAUACAUCUCACUUUCCUGGACCUCUCACAUAACAACCUCAACGGUUCAAUCCCUCCCUCUUUCUCCAACCUCAUACAUCUCACUUCCCUGGACCUUUCAGGUAACAACCUCAACGGUUCAAUCCCUCCCUUUUUCUCUAA